rnacentral:lncRNA from 1 species
UGCUUAUUUACUUUUCCGUUGCUACUGUUACAAUCACUACAAAACCCAAAAAUAUUACUUUUGCUAUCGUUACCACUACUAUCAUAUUGCUUUGCUACUAAAUACCUUGUUGCAGAUAUUAAGUUUCCAGGUGUGGUUGAAUUGACAACUCAGCUGCUAAUACUUGAGAAUAUUCUUUGGCUCCCCUUGUGUCGAAUCAAUAAAUUUGGGUUGAAUACUCUACCCUCGAAAACUGUUGCAAUCCCCUAUACUUAUGGGUUAUCAAUUGCUUUUUGAUCUUCAGAAAGAACCCUGUUCCUUGAAUCCGAUUCAACUAAAGUUGGAGAAACAUACACCCACUAGCAACCUGUGUGUGAAGCACCUCAGUAGAACCAGUCUCGUGUAAGCGUAUGCGUAAUGUCGGUCUGAGCCGCUUCAUCCAACAAUACCGCUAAAUCAAGAAUCAACUAGUGAUGGCAAGCAAUAUGUAUAUACCCACGCCCACAACUCCUUUGUGUUCUACUCGUGCAUAUAACAUCUACGCAUAGACCUGGCUCGGAUGCCACUGUUGGGGAAUGUAGUAUUUCAAAAAUUUCCUACGAUCACGCAAGAUCUAUCUAGGAUAUGCAUAGAAACGAGAGGGGGAGAGUAUGUCUACGUACACUCGUAGACCGAAAGCACAAGCAUUAUGAAACGUGGUUGAUGGAGUCGAACGUCUUCGCGAUCCAACCGAUCAAGUACCGAACGCACGGCACCUCCGUGAUCUGCACAUGUUCUUCUUGGUGACGUCCCUUGUACUCUUGAUCUAGCUGAGGCCGAGGGAGAGUUUUGUCAGCACGACGGCGUGAUGACGGUGAUGAUGAAGUUACCGGCACAGGGCUUCGCCUAAGCACUACAAUGAUAUGACCAAGGUGGAAUUCUGUGGAGGGGGGCACCGCACACGGCUAAACAAUCAACUUGUGUGUCUAUGGGGUGCCCCCCUCCCCCGUAUAUAAAGGGGUGGAGGAGGGGAGGGCUGGUCCUCAUAGGGCACGCCCAAGGGGGGAGUCCUACUCCAGUAGGAGUAGGUUUUCCCCCUUCCUAGUAGGAGUAGGAGAAGAAGGAAGAGGGAGAGAGAGGGAAGAAAAGGGGGGCACCCAAUUCGGAUUGGGCUUGGAGGGGCGCGCCAUCCACCUGGCCGCCUCCUCCUCUCUCCCACUAAGGCCCAAUAAGACCCAUUGACUCACCGGGGGGUUCUGGUAACCCCCCCCCCCGGUACUCUGGUAAAUGCUCGAACUCAUCCGGAACCAUUCCCAUAUCCAAACUGUAACAUCACAAAAUUCUAAAUUUUGGAAUGUUAUAAUAAAUAGAUAGAUUUGAUUGAUUGAUUGAUUGAUUGAAAGUGAGUGAAUUCGAAACUUUUUGAAAGUUAAAUGAGAUGGAAUAAAAGGACUUUCCCAAACUUUCAUUUUGCAUUCGUGAUCUCCGUGAAUUCAAAUUCUUUUCACCACGAAACCCUGGAGAGAAGAUAACAUGACUUCUUCCAUUUAUUUAAAUGACAAGGGUUUUUGAAAACAUUUGAAAUUCAUUUGGAAAAUAUUUCCAAUUCAGAAACUUCAUGCAGCUCAAUGAUUUUCAUGAGAGAAGAUAAAAUGACUUCUUCAAAUUAUAUGAAAUAUGAGUUGGGAGUUUCAAAGAAUUAAAUUCAAAGUUCUUUUGAAUUUAUUUUCAAUUUGGAGUUAUUUGAGUUUUAUUCGAAUUAUUUUUCUCCAAAAAUAAAAUAUAUGGAAAUUUGGGUAACAUGAUUCCCUACACUAGAAAAUUGGAGAAAAUUAAUUUGAAAUCAUUUUGGUAUUUUUAAAAUGAUUUUAUUGAAUUUUUAUUAGACCAGUAGCACUCUUUGAAUUAUUUGAAUUUUUCCGGAUUUUAUUUGAUUUUAAAAAAAUGUCUAUGUCGUAGAGAAUCUUGUUCUGAAAAUUUUGAUAUAUUAUAUGCCUAUAUAAUAUUUUUAGUUAUUUUUGUUUUUAUUAUUUUAGUUCUCUAAAAAAAUGUUUAUAAAAAAAGGAAACCUCUUCGCCGACUGGGCCGGCCCAGCUCCCAGCCAGGCCGCGGCCCAGCCCAGCGCCGCGCCCCGCUCAUCCCCGAGCUCGGGCAGGAGUCCCUCUGCCGCACGCCGGCGACCGCCGCCGAGUCCGCCCGGACUCCUCCUCCCUUGCCCCCUCCUCCACGUCUCCUCCGCCCCCUCCCCUAUAAAUCUCGGGCCCCCUNNNNNNNNNNNNNNNNNNNNNNNNNNNNNNNNNNNNNNNNNNNNNNNNNNNNNNNNNNNNNNNNNNNNNNNNNNNNNNNNNNNNNNNNNNNNNNNNNNNNNNNNNNNNNNNNNNNNNNNNNNNNNNNNNNNNNNNNNNNNNNNNNNNNNNNNNNNNNNNNNNNNNNNNNNNNNNNNNNNNNNNNNNNNNNNNNNNNNNNNNNNNNNNNNNNNNNNNNNNNNNNNNNNNNNNNNNNNNNNNNNNNNNNNNNNNNNNNNNACCGCCCCGCGUCGCACGCGCCGCGCCACCACCACUGCUCGCCUGCGCCGCCGCCGCUCUCUGCCCAGCUGCCGCAGCCGCAUCUCGCCGGACUCGUCGGAGUCCGCAACUUCGCCGAAGCCGCCACCCCGAUCCAAAACGCCACCGCCGGUUUUCGAAGAAAACCGCCCUGACUGGUAAAACCGUUGCCCCGGUUUGAACCGGUUUAUUUUCGGUUUAGUCCGGUUUCUGAAAAAAAACCUAGAUUUGUUUUUUUAGGUUUAUUAUUUAGAGAACGUUCGCUGGUUAGAGUUAGAAAGUGAGCGUUCACUCAGUAGGUUUUUUUCUUUUUCUUUUUCUGUUUAUUUUACGUCAGGGACCUAUCCGUGAAUAUAAUUAUUUACAGAUUGGCCCCUAGUUUUCAAACGACCACAACUCUUUGCUCGUUUAUCCAAAUCCAACGAAACCAACGCUCACAUCUUUGUUAUGAUCCCCUCUAUCCAGUAAUCCAACUCAAACAUGUUUUUGAAAAGUUUAAAGUUUGAAUCAGAUCAGAUUUGAAUUCAAACUUUGUUUUAUCAUAACUUGAGUUUCGUAGCUCCGUUUGAGUUGAUUCUUUUUGCAAAUCGAAGCUCUUGACCUAAACCUUCUGAUAAGGCCAAAUUCACAUAAUUUUGGUGCUGUUAGAAAUUGUUCUAUGUUGCAAGAGUUAUUUUCUUGGUUUUGAAGUUUUCCGAAUCGUUUUUCUUCGAUCUUUCUGAUCUUUUGAGUGAUUGCUUAUGUGUGGUUACUAUUUCUUGCUUACGAUAGAUUGACCGGAGUGUGACGAGUAGAGCUAUCAAGAUUUUGAGUGCGAAUCAUCUGCAUCAACAUUGCAGGCAAGUUCACACUUUGAUCAUAUCCCUUUUAUCACCCAGUUUUUAUGCAUUAGUUCCAAUCCUCAAACACUGCAUGGUUAGGAUGUCAUUAACUUGUGGGUUGGGAAGCAGAUGACGAGGUAGAACCUAUUACCUGCUUAUUAUCAAACCCUUGGGAGUUACUAUUACGUUAUGCUUACAUUGCCAUGCUAUGCUCGUAGACGUGGAUUGGGUUUUGAGAGUAUUUCAUGACAGAUGUGAGGGAUUAUUGUUAACUAAGGUUUAACUUAAGGUGGCUACUUUAAUACACAUCUGGGUGGAUUGGUUGGGGCACCCUGGGGAUAUACCAGUGGACUUGCCCGGACACCUGGGGAUAUACCAGUGUUGUCCUAGGAGAUCCCGGGGUUACCGUGUGAUCCUCCUAUGGUUCGCCACCCAGGCUCAAAGGGAUCAUAAGAUUAUUCAUGCUAGAAACUUCCGUGUGCAGCCACAAGCUAUUAUGGGCUCUAGCAUAGUUGAUUAAGUUGUGUGAACUCUUACAGUGGUAGACUAGCAGAUGUAGGGGUUGUAGGUGGUACGGUCUACCCAUCGUAAGGUGCAAACGCUUCUGAAAGACUAUGUCUCGGUCAUCCAUUUCUCAAACACCAUGUAGUGCGAGAAAUCCAAUGGAGGAGAAUGAGUCUUGUGGGGAAAAGUGCGCAAACCUCUGCAGAGUGUAUAAACUAAUCAUGGUUAGCCGUGUCCCCGGUUAUGGACAUCUUGAGUAUCUAGUACUUGAAUUAUCAUGUGAAUCUCAUCAUGUUACUUUAAAUUAAGUUUGUUGGGUUUUAAUGAUGAUGCUUAAUUGGGAUUGAGAAUGCUGGCAACCAUUCUCAAUGUUUAACAACCACCAUGAUAGUUAAAUAAAAUUUAUUCCUUUAUAGUAGGGAAAAAUUGGCUUUUCGCAAAAACCUUAUAACCGUAGAGCCUUUCCACCAGCCAAAUAUGCAUGUAGUGAUAGCCAUUGUUCAUCAUUCUCUAUAGUGUGGAUUUUCCAGUACAUUCAAUGUACUGACCCUUUGUGGCUGCAACGUCUCAUGUUGCAGGAUUUCUUACGACGAGUAAGUGAUACGUUAGGGUUAUGAUUUCUACACUCAACUUUGCCGUUGGUGUUGAUGGGAAUCCACAACCUUGUUACUUCCGCUAUUUGGACUGAGGUAAUAGUAUUUGCGCUACUUUUUACAUGUGAUUUACCUCUGUUAUAAAUCCUCGAGUACUGUGUGUGUCAGCAUAUCGAUCCAGGGAUGACACUUAAGCACAGAGACUUGAUCCAUUCGGGUCGGGUCGCUACAAGAUGGUAUUAGAGCACAUGUUGACUAUAGGACGUGACCCUAGAAACUGGCAAGCCCAUAGCAAAGAUUUUUCUCUACAACUUUCCCUUUCAAAAAGAUCUUUUACCUCUCUUCUCUUCUGAGCUUAUUCAAAAUUCCCUUUAGUGAGACCAUACCCCUUUCCCCUUUUGACCACACGAAGAUUCGACUGAUGAGACCACUCCAAGAAGUACAAGAUAUUGGACAACUAAGACCACUUCGGAAUGAAGAGUAUUUUUCGUGCAUCUAAAUAAUGGAAACUACAACGGUUGAAGACCGAAGACUAGGAGAUUUUGAAGGCUCUGAAGAAUUCCCAGAUUUGUAUGACCUAGGAAGGCUACCCUUAUGGAACUUGGCAGACUAUGGAAGUUGUCAAUACCCGAGAUCAAGGUGUAUCGGAGAAAGACCGAGCAUGGAGAGUUAAAAACCUCAAAGUUUUGUCAAAGAAAACCCUAAGGCAGGAGAUAUCAACUAUGGAAUGAUAGCUCAUGGGAAUGACAAGAGCAGAAACACGGUUAUCCAUGAUGUCAUCGCCCGCUGAUGCUAUUGUCACCAUGCUGAGUUAAGGAUGCAUUUCUUGAGAAUGGAUUAGAUGGUAGAAGGCUGAUGGAGCAUCUAUCAGCAGAGAUGAAGUUUUAACCUUAGCCGGUGUAUCACUAGGAUCUGGAGUAGUACAUCAACAAGUUUAAAAUGGAGCUCCAGGAAGUCGUAUUAGACAAGGAAGUAUUUCAUGAGGAAUUCAGGACCCUGAAGAUGAGAGUAGCCAAGCUGGAGGAGUUACAACCUCGAGAUACCGGAGAUUUGUCAGGAACUGAAGGAUAGUAUGACCAUGGUUCAUGUGAAGGAUGUUGAAACCUAGAAGUUGAAAUGCAACUCCGGAAUAUUAAAGGAUGUCACGAGAGACUUCGCGUCAACAAAGUUGAUCUGGCAAAAGAACUUGAGAAAGACAAGCAUGAUCGGAAGAAGCCAUUGGAGGCAUGAACAAGACUUGAAGAGUUAGACGACAUUGAAGAUUUAUUGACCUUUAGAAGACCAAACCCCUGUUAUAUACCUACGUUAGAUGCGAUGUUUGUGAGCUGUCAUUUGUUUGAUUUUUUUCCCGACAGUCACAAAUAAAAUCUGUGUUUUCAAAACUUUUGUUUGUAUUGUGUGUAUCCCUCUCUAUCUCUCUUAUCUCACCCCAAACCCAUGGACCAAAUAGAGGAUGAAUGAAGAUGAACUUAUAUUUUCUAGACCGAUGAGUCAAUUGGAGACGGACCAAUGGAUUCAGAACAUGGAGGAUCACAUGGAGAAUAACCCUAUAGUUGUACAUGAUAUGAACCAUCAUGCUCUACAGUGCUUUGAAAGAGGUGAUGCUACUUGGUGGAGGAUGUACCAAACCAUGAAUGGAUGGCAAGGAGUAACCACUUGGAGAGAAUUUAAGUUGACUCUGCCAAAGUCUCGGUUUGUGUCCCAGAAGUUGAAGCCUUAUGGAGAGGAUAUGAAGAAACCUUGUGCAUGCAAGAUUUGUGGAGAAACAUGACACACCCAUAAAGUACACAAGGAUGAAAGCCCUAAUUGUGAAGGAAGUCACCCAGCUGAAGAAUGCUCCACUAGGCAGAUUACUUGUUUCUUGUGUGAAGGGAUUACCCACUAUCCUACUCAGUGUCACAUUUACCCCAUGGUACGAAGGACCGUACAACAGAAGAAAGAAGUAAAGAAAGGAGCGCUUAUGGAAAUUUUAGAAGAACCCGUGAUGAAGGAAGAUGUGGAGGACACACCUAAAGAAGACUUGAGUAAACCCUGCACUAAGUCUUGCUAUUCAUGUGGAGAAGAAGGACACAUCUCCCAAAAUUGUUUGAAUGGGGAUCUAGCAGAACUCCCGACAGAGGAAGUAGAAUAUGACCCACAAGAAAUAGAAGCCACGAUUGGCAUGGAAAAGUCCAGAAAGAGAAGCAUAGUGGAUUCCAGGAAGGACUUGAGUCAUAUCACCUGUUACAGGUGCAAGGAGUCAGGCCACUACCUCAACAAUUGCCCAAAAAGGAAACCUCGAUACUUAUCAGAAGUAAUAUGUUUUAGUUGUAAUGGAGCAGGGCACUUUGCCAGAGAAUGCUCUAAGGAGAAGGAAACUUGUGCUAAAUAGUUGAGUUUGCAACAAAAGAAAUGGAGUAGUAGAAGUGAGAACAUUUUAUUUUAUUGAGGUGUUGAGUUGAUACAUGUAAUGGAAAAGCGAAGGAUUGUAAUCACUUGAGAAUGAAUAAAGUUAGCAUCGUUGGUUCUGAUAUGGAUUUUGUGAGUUGUUAAUCUAUGAAGAAGAAUUUUGGCCAUUCUGAGGAUAUGAGAAAUAUGGUCUCUGGAAGAUUUGUGCAUUUUAAGGGUGGUAGUACCCUGUAAGAACCGUUGACCCUUGGAAAGAACAAGGAUACCCCACUGAGUGGAUUUCGGAAAAAAUGAAUACGAGUUUUGUCUCGAUAUGUGUGAUGCCCCAAGAGUAUGUGGGAUGAAGUUGGAGACUGUCAGUUGUUUGGACCAAAUGUGAUCAAGGAGUCAGAAGAGAAUGUUAAGUUGAUUCGAGAUAGACUGAAGGUAGCUCAGUCCAGGCAGAGGAGAUAUGCAGACUCAAAAACUCAAGGAGGUAGUCUAUGAGAUUGGAGACAGAGCAGGUCUUCAUCCCCUCUGCGAGGAGUUAAAUGAUUUGGAGUUAAGGGACAGUUAGCCCCGAGAUUUGUAGGACCAUACUGAGUUUUGGAGAGUAUGGGAGAAGUGGACAACAAGUUGAAGUCACCCGAAGGACUGUCCGGAGUUCAUGAUGUGUUUCACGUUUCCCAGUUGAAGAAGUGCCAUGCAGAGAUGGCCAAUAUUCCCCUGUAAGGACGCUUGACCCUAGAAAGGAUAAUGAUGUUCCACGAAGUGGAAUAUGGACUUCAUAAGUAUAAGUUUUUAUCUCGGUAUGUGGGAUAUCCCACGAGGAUGAAGAGAUAAAUUACUAUUGGAUAUAAAGGACGUAUGAUGUCGGAAAUAUGGAUCAAUGGAAACUCCAUGAUGAGUAUGAGUAAUCAUGUCCUAGUUUGGUGCCAAUAGAAGGAAGGAAGACAGUACAAUUGGAUGGAUUUAAGAAUACUAGGAAGUUGGAAGUUGGAAUAAUGAUCAGUUGCCCGAUGAUAAGUUCAAGGACUACAAGUGAUGAGAUGGGCCAUAACCCACAGGCCCCAGGACCUGCCAAGAAGCAAGCACAUUCUUGUUGAAGGAAAAAACCCCGGAGGAAGAUACGACAUUUAUGGGCAGACGAUUUUAUAGGAGUAACGCAAAACCUGAGAUUUGUGAAGGAACGAUAGAUGGUUGUUUGGCUUGCAGAAUCUAUGGAUUUAUCCGAACUUGGUUCGUCGACAAGAGAAAUUCUGCAAUGCUUGUGAGGAUGACCGAGUGUUAGAAUGCGAGAUUCACUAAAGCAUAUACAGGGUAAUGAUUUGGGUGCGGGAUGGAUUGAUCACCAUACCGACUUACUCUUAUUAUUCGCCUUGCUAUAUAGGAUGGUAAAUCUGAGUGACUUACCUAUAGUAGAGAGACGACGAUAAAAACCUUGUUUAAAUUAGAAUGGUAUAAGUAUUUUUCCCUUGUACACGGCAGUUGUUGCCAACCGUAGGUUAUACGGUGAGGAUCAACCCAGACCCAUUUCCUGCAGGAGAAACCAUAAAUGGUUGACCACCAUGAGAUAUCGAUAGUUGUUUAGUAUUGGCGCCAGACCUGUCAGCUAAGAAGACCCAGUCCCGGAAUAAUCUUACCAAGAAGAAAUUAUACAAAAGAAUUGAGGAAAAAGUUUAUGCCACUACCGGAAGAGCCAGAGAAGGAAUUAUCCUGAAGAUCCAAGAGGACUGACACUGUUAACAAUAAAAAUGGAGUAUAUGAGUUUUGAUGAAACCGUAACCAUGCUUCUAAGGGUGGUAGCACCCUAGACCCCAGAGACGAUCGAUGGAUUUUGAGGAGACCCCGAACCUAACCUAUUUCCUUCUAGCCUCUCCGAAUCUUGAGGACGAGAUUCCUUUUAAGGGUGGUAGGUUUGUAACAUCCCAAAAUUCUAAAUUUUGGAAUGUUAUAAUAAAUAGAUAGAUUUGAUUGAUUGAUUGAUUGACUGAAAGUGAGUGAAUUCGAAACUUUUUGAAAGUUAAAUGAGAGGGAAUAAAAGGACUUUCCCAAACUUUCAUUUUGCAUUUAUGAUCUCCGUGAAUUCAAAUUCUUUUCACCACGAAACCCUCGAGAGAAGAUAACAUGACUUCUUCCAUUUAUUUAAAUGACAAGGGUUUUUGAAAACAUUUGAAAUUCAUUUGGAAAAUAUUUCCAAUUCAGAAACUUCAUGCAGCUCAAUGAUUUUCAUGAGAGAAGAUAAAAUGACUUCUUCAAAUUAUAUGAAAUAUGAGUUGGGAGUUUCAAAGAAUUAAAUUCAAAGUUCUUUUGAAUUUAUUUUCAAUUUGGACUUAUUUGAGUUUUAUUCAAAUUAUUUUUCUCCAAAACUAAAAUAUAUGGAAAUUAGGGUAACAUGAUUCCCUACACUAGAAAAUUGGAGAAAAAUUAAUUUGAAAUCAUUUUGGUAUUUUUAAAAUGAUUUUAUUGAAUUUUUAUUAGACCAGUAGCACUCUUUGAAUUAUUUGAAUUUUUCUAGAUUUUAUUUGAUUUUAAAAAAAUGUCUAUGUCAUAGAGAAUCUUGUUCUAAAAAUUUUGAUAUAUUAUAUGCCUAUAUAAUAUUUUUAGUUAUUUUUGUUUUUAUUAUUUUAGUUCUCUAAAAAAAAUAUUUAUAAAAAAAAGGAAACCUCUUCGCCGACUGGGCCGGCCCAGCUCCCAGCCAGGCCGCGGCCCAGCCCAGCGCCACGCCCCGCUCGUCCCCGAGCUCGGGCAGGAGUCCCUCUGCCGCACGCCGGCGACCACCGCCGAGUCCGCCCGGACUCCUCCUCCCUUGCCCCCUCCUCCACGUCUCCUCCGCCCCCUCCCCUAUAAAUCCCGGGCCCCCUGGACCCGCAGCCCACCGGCCUCACCUCGCGCCUUGCGCCGCCGCGCCGCAGAUCUCCGCCGCCGCGUAGCUCCACCGCUGCCGCUGCGCCGCAGCCACCGCCCCGCGCCGCGUCACCACCACCGCUCGCCUGCGCCGCCGCCGCUCUCUGCCCAGCUGCCGCAGCCGCAUCUCGCCGGACUCGCCGGAGUCCGCAACUUUGCCGAAGCCGCCGCCCCGAUCCAAAACGCCGCCGCCGGUUUUCGAAGAAAGAGAAGAAAACCGCCAUGACUGGUAAAACCGUUGCCCCGGUUCGAACCGGUUUAUUUUUGGUUUAGUCCGGUUUCUGAAAAAAAAACUAGAUUUGUUUUUUUAGGUUUAUUAUUUAGAUAAUGUUCGCUGGUUAGAGUUAGAAAGUGAGCGUUCGCUCAUUAGGUUUUUUUCCUUUUUCUUUUUCUGUUUAUUUUAUAUCAGGGACCUAUCCGUGAAUAUAAUUAUUUACAGAUUGGCCCCUAGUUUUCAAAUGACCACAACUCUUUGCUCGUUUAUCCAAAUCCAACGAAACCAACGCUCACAUCUUUGUUAUGAUCCCCACUAUCCAGUAAUCCAACUCAAACAUGUUUUUGAAAAUUUUAAAAUUUGAAUCAGAUCAGAUUUGAAUUCAAACUUUGUUUUAUCAUAACUUGAGUUUCGUAGCUCCGUUUGAGUUGAUUCUUUUUGCGAAUCGAAGCUCUUGACCUAAACCUUUUGAUAAGGCCAAAUUCACAUAAUUUUGGCAUUUUUAGAAAUUGUUCUAUGGUGCAAGAGUUAUUUGCUUGGUUUUGAAGUUUUCUGAAUCGUUUUUCUUCGAUCUUUCUGAUCUUUUGAGUGAUUGCUUAUGUGUGGUUACUAUUGCUUGCUUAUGAUAGAUUGACCAGAGUGUGACGAGUAGAGCUAUCAAGAUUUUGAGUGCGAAUCAUCUUCAUCAACAUUGCAGGCAAGUUCACACUUUGAUCAUAUCCCUUUUAUCACCCAGUUUUUAUGCAUUAGUUCCAAUCCUCAAACACUGCAUGGUUAGGAUGUCAUUAACUUGUGGGUUGGGAAGUAGAUGACGAGGUAGAACCUAUUACCUGCUUAUUAUCAAACCCUUGGGAGUUACUAUUACGUUAUGCUUACAUUGCCAUGCUAUGCUCGUAGACAUGGAUUGAGUUUUGAGAGUAUUUCAUGACAGAUGUGAGGGAUUAUUGUUAACUAAGGUUUAACUUAAGGUGGCUACUUUAAUACACAUCUGGGUGGAUUGGUUGGGGCACCCUGGGGAUAUACCAGUGGACUUGCCCGGACACCUGGGGAUAUACCAGUGUUGUCCUAGGAGAUCCCGGGGUUACCGUGUGAUCCUCCUAUGGUUCGCCACCCAGGCUCAAAGGGAUCAUAAGAUUAUUCAUGCUAGAAACUUCCGUGUGCAGCCACAAGCUAUUAUGGGCUCUAGCAUAGUUGAUUAAGUCGUGUGAACUCUUACAGUGGUAGACUAGCAGAUGUAGGGGUUGUAGGUGGUACGGUCUACCCAUCGUAAGGUGCAAACGCUUCUGAAAGACUAUGUCUCGGUCAUCCGUUUCUCAAACACCAUGUAGUGCGAGAAAUCCAACGGAGGAGAAUGAGUCUUGUGGGGAAAAGUGCGCAAACCUCUAUAGAGUGUAUAAACUAAUCAUGGUUAGUCGUGUCCCCGGUUAUGGACAUCUUGAGUAUCUAGUACUUGGAUUAUCAUGUGAAUCUCAUCAUGUUACUUUAAAUUAAGUUUGUUGGGUUUUAAUGAUGAUGCUUAAUUGGUAUUGAGAAUGCUGUCAACCAUUCUCAAUGUUUAACAACCACCAUGAUAGUUAAAUAAAAUUUAUUCCUUUGUAGUAGGGAAAAAUUGGCUUUUCGCAAAAACCUUAUAACCGUAGAGCCUUUCCACCAGCCAAAUAUGCAUGUAGUGAUAGCCAUUGUUCAUCAUUCUCUAUAGUGUGGAUUUGCUAGUACAUUCAAUGUACUGACCCUUUGUGGCUGCAACGUCUCAUGUUGUAGGAUUUCUUACGACGAGUAAGUGAUACAUUAGGGUUACGAUUUCUACACUCAACUUUGUCGUUGGUGUUGAUGGGAAUCCACAACCUUGUUACUUCUGCUAUUUGGAUUGAGGUAAUAAUAUUUGCGUUACUUUUUACAUGUGCUUUACCUCUGUUAUAAAUCCUCGAGUAUUGUGUGUGUUAGCAUACCGAUCCAGGGAUGACACUUAAGCACAGAGACUUGAUCCAUUCGGGUCGGGUCGCUACACAAACAUAGCCUUCCAAUAUAUCGAUCUUUAUGUCUCGACCAUUUCAAGACUCCUUGUCAUGUCCGUGAUCACAUCGGGGACUCCGAACUACCUUCGGUACAUCAAAACACAUAAACUCAUAAUACCGAUCGUCAUUGAACGUGAAGCGUGCAGACGCUACGGGUUCGAGAACUAUGUAGACAUGACCGAGACUCACUUCCGGUCAAUAACCAAUAGCGGAACCUAGAUGCGCAUAUUGGUUCCUACAUAUUUUAUGAAGAUCUUUAUCGGUCAAACCGCAUAACAACAGAUGUUGUUCCCUUUGUCAUUGGUAUGUUACUUGCCCGAGAUUCGAUCGUCGGUAUCUCAAUACCUAGUUCAAUCUCGUUACCAGCAAGUCUCUUUACUCGUUCUGUAAUGCAUCAUCCCGCAACUAACUCAUUAGUCACAUUACUUGCAAGGCUUAUAGUGAUGUGCAUUACUGAGAGGGCCUAGAGAUACCUCUCUGAUACACAGAGUGACAAAUCCUAAUCUCGAUCUAUGCCAACUCAACAAACACCAUCGGAGACACCUGUAGAGCAUCUUUAUAGUCACCCAGUUAUGUUGUGACGUUUUAUAGCACACUAAGUGUUCCUCCGGUAUUCGGGAGUUGCAUAAUCUCAUAGUCAUAGGAACAUGUAUAAGUCAUGGAGAAAGCAAUAGCAAUAAACUAAACGAUCAUAGUGCUAAGCUAACGGAUGGGUCAAGUCAAUCACAUCAUUCUCUAAUGAUGUGAUCCCGUUCAUCAAAUGACAACUCAUGCCUAUGGUUAGGAAACUUAACCAUCUUUGAUUAACGAGCUAGUCAAGUAGAGGCAUACUAGUGACACUCUGUUUGUCUAUGUAUUCACACAUGUACUAAAUUUCCGGUUAAUACAAUUCUAGCAUGAAUAAUAAACAUUUAUCCUGAUAUAAGGAAAUAUAAAUAACAACUUUAUUAUUGCCUCUAGGGCAUAUUUCCUUCAAGAUGAUUUGAGUGGAAAGCAACUUGGGGAAGGCUAGAGAUCAAGAUUCCUGAGGUUGGAUUGGAAUAUCUUGGUCUCAACACAUGAGUAGGUGGUUCUCUCCCAAAAAAUGAAUGAUGCAAGUGUAGUCGCGUUCUUAUGGCUUUCUCCAUGAAUGAAGAGUGGGUGGAGGGGUAUAUAUAGCCUCCACACAAAAUCUAGUCGUUACACACAAUUUGCCAAACUCGGUUAGACCGAUUUAGUUCAAAAUGUAAACGUUGGGAUUUUCGAUGGGACCGAUGUGCUAGCGUUAGGGUAAAACCUUGACUCAGUUUGACCGAUUACACAAACUCGGUGGGACCGAUUUUGGUAAUAAGCAAAAUAGAGAGUUGGUCUAGCAAACUCGGUGGGGCCGAUUGCUUAUCUCGGUGAUACCAAAAUUAUUGCAACACAUAACAGAGAGUUUGCAAGCCCAUCUCGGUGAGACUAAGAUCCCAUCGGUGAGACCGAACUGAUUAGGGUUUCUGGCAGUGGCUAUGUCAAGUGAACUCGAUGGCGCCGGAUAGAUCAAAUCGGUGGGGCCGAGUUUGACUUUUGGUUUGGGACAUGGGUGGAAAUGAGAAAGUGGUUGAGGGAUUUGGAGCAUAUCACUAAGCACUUUGAGCAAACAAGCCAUUAAGCAACACCUCAUCCCCUUUUAAUAGUAUUGGCUUUUCCUAUUGACUCAAUGUGAUCUUGGAUCACCGAAAUGAAAAUGUAGAGUCUUGAGCUUGAGCCAAUCUUUGUCCUUAGCAUCUCGAAGGGGUUCCACAUCCUCUUGUCCAAGCCACUCCACCGUUGACCUCAUUUCAAAUAUACUAGAUGAAAAUAUUAGUCCAACAAGAGAUAUGUUGACAUUAAUCACCAAAAUCACCCAGGGAGCACUUGUGCUUUAAGAUUGCAUGCGAACUAGGUUUUAUAGCUGACCUGGAACUUCCAUAUGUCAAUGGGAAACGACUUAGUUCAAUUCAAUUAGAGCACUGGCUGAACCAUAUAACUGGACACCGUUGGCAAUAGCAUCCAGACAUGGGUGUGGUUCUCAAUGGCAUCCAGCUCUGGACGUCGUUGUUCAUGUCAUCCUUCCUAUUUUUUAAAAUUUUACGCAUCCUUUACCAGUUUUGCAAUUACCAAAUUAUUAAUCAUAAAGAAAUCAGGCUAAACAAGUUGGGCUACAAGCUAGCUGAAGGAAAUAUGCCCUAGAGGCAAUAAUAAAGUUAUUAGUUAUUUCCUUAUAUCAUGAGAAAUGUUUAUUAUUCAUGCUAGAAUUGUAUUAAACGGAAACUUAGUACAUGUGUGAAUACAUAGACAAACAGAGUGUCACUAGUAUGCCUCUACUUGACUAGCUCGUUGAAUCAAAGAUGGUUAAGUUUCCUAGCCAUAGACAUGAGUUGUCAUUUGAUUAACGGGAUCACGUCAUUAGAGAAUGAUGUGAUUGACUUGACCCAUUCCGUUAGCUUAGCACGAUGAUCGUUUAGUUUGUUGCUACUACUUUCUUCAUGACUUAUACAUGUUCCUCUGACUAUGAGAUUAUGCAACUCCCGAAUAGCAGAGGAACACUUUGUGUGCUACCAAACAUCACAACGUAACUGGGUGAUUAUAAAGGUGCUCUACAGGUGUCUCCGAUGGUACUUGCUGAGUUGGCAUAGAUCGAGAUUAGGAUUUGGCACUCCGAUUGUCGGAGAGGUAUCUCUAGGCCCUCUCAGUAAUGCACAUCACUAUAAGCCUUGCAAGCAAUGUGACUAAUGAGUUAGUUGCGGGAUGAUGCAUUACGGAAUGAGUAAAGAGACUUGCCGGUAACGAGAUUGACAAGUUUUAUAAAUAUAAUCACUACUUUUUAUAGCAUAAGUAUCAUCACAAUAAUCAUCAUAAGUAGGAGGCAUGCCAUCAUCAUUAUAAAUUUGCAUAUCAAAACUUGGGAGACUAAAAAUAUCAUCUUCAUUAAACAUAGCAUCCCCAAGCUUGGGACAAACAUUAAUUGCAGCAAAUAUAUUCUCAAAAACAUCAUCUUCAUCAAACAUAGCAUCCCCAAGCUUGGGCCUUUUCAUAUCAUAAGCAUAAUCACUCUCAUCAUUAAUAGUAUGGAUAGCAGCAAUUAUCAUAUUCUUCCAAGCAAGUGCCAAAAAGAUUUUCAAUAUCAUAGGAAGUAUCAUUAUCUUUCACAAUUAUAUUUUCAUGAGGCACAAUAGUAAUAGGAGCAGCAUUAUUUGGGAGAGAUAUCUUCUUACCUCUCUUCCUUUUUCUUUUCUUCUUCUUCACCACAUCAUGUGUGGUUUCAAUCCUCUUUUUGGAGCUCCUUAUUAAUGAGAUUGGUUGAAUAGAAGGCUCCUCCUCGUUACCUGAUUCAUCAUAAGAAGUAAUAGGAGGGUAUUGGGAAGUCUCUCCCCUUUCAUUAGUAUUCUCUUCAUCUUCUAUUUGUUUUCUUUUCUUUAUGUAGUUGGCAAUAUAAGGAUUUUCAAUACAGUUCACCGCACAAUACGUAUAAAUUUUCUCUAGAUCAAAAUCAAGGAAUCUAUCAAGGUUAAACUUUGGAAUACCCUCAGUUAUACAUUUCAUUUCUUCAUACCCCAAAAGAAGACUAAGCUCUUUAUGAUGCUCAAGGGUAAUCAAAUUAUCACAAUUUUUGGAUACGAUUCGGUCAUGAAACAAUAUGCAUUGGAGAUUUAAAUGACCAUGUUCAUUGCAAAGUUCACAAGGGGCGCGAAAAAUAUUGAAUUUUUCAGCACAAACAUCAAGACUUUCUUGCAAGAAUUUAGUUUCUAAAUACUUAUGCCUCUUGCAAUAUCUAUCUUCCCUAUUUGGUGUAUACUUGCAAACCCAAUGCACUCCACAAAAAUUGACAUGUUUAUAGGAGACAUUUUCGUCAUAACUAGUGCAAUCAUCAUUAGUACUAUGGAUAUUCAAGGAGUUCAUACUAACAACAUUGCAAUCAUGCUCAUCAUUCAAAGAUUUAGUGCCAAACAUUUUAAUGCAUUCUUCUUCUAACACUUUAGCACAAUUUUCCUUUCCAUCAUACUCACGAAAGAUGUUAAAAAGAUGAAGCGUAUGAGGUAGACUCAAUUCCAUUUUUUUGUAAUUUUCUUUUAUAAACUAAACUAGUGAUAAAACAAGAAACUAAAAGACUCGAUUGCAAGAUCUAAAGAUAUACCUUCAAGCACUCACCUCCCCGGCAACGGCACCAGAAAAGAGCUUGAUGUCUACUACACAACCUUCUUCUUGUAGACGUUGUUGGGCCUCCAAGUGCAGAGGUUUGUAGGACAAUAGCAAAUUUCCCUCAAGUGGAUGACCUAAGCUUUAUCGAUCCGUAGGAGGCGUAGGAUGAAGAUGGUCUCUCUCAAGCAACCCUACAACAAAAUAACAAAGAGUCUCUUGUGUCCCCAACACACCCAAUACAAUGGUAAAUUGUAUAGGUGCACUAGUUCGGCGAAGAGAUGGUGAUACAAGUGGUAUAUGGAUAGUAGAUAAAGGUUUUCGUAAUCUGAAAAUAUAAAAACAGCAAGGUAACUAAUGAUAAAAGUGAGCGCAAACGGUAUUGCAAUGUGUUGAAACAAGGCCUAGGGUUCAUACUUUCACUAGUGCAAGUCCUCUCCACAAUAAUAUCAUAAUUGGAUCACAUAACUAUCCCUCAACAUGCAACAAAGAGUCACUCCAAAGUCACUAAUAGCAGAGAACAAAUGAAGAUAUUAUGGUAGGGUACGAAACCACCUCAAAGUUAUUCUUUCCAAUCAAUCCGUUGGGCUAUUCCUAUAAGUGUCACAGAUAGCCCUAGAGUUCGUACUAGAAUAACACCUUAAGACACAAAUCAACCAAAACCCUAAUGUCACCUAGAUACUCCAAUGUCACCUCAAGUAUCCAUGGGUAUGAUUAUAUGAUAUGCAUCACACAAUCUCAGAUUCAUCUAUUCAACCAACACAUAGGACCUCAAAGAGUGCCCAAACUUUCUACCGAAGAAUCACGACGAAAACGUGUGUCAACCCCUAUGCAUAGGUUCAUGGGCGGAACCUGCAAGUUGAUCACCAAAACAUCAAGUGAAUCACGUGAUAUCCCAUUGUCACCACAGAUACACACGGCAAGACACACAUCAAGUGUUCUCAAAUCUUUAAAGACUCAAUCCGAUAAGAUAACCUCAAAGGGAAAACUCAAUCCAUUACAAGAGAGUAGAGGGGGGAGAAAACAUCAUAAGAUCCAACUAUAAUAGCAAAGCUCGUGAUACAUCAAGAUUGUAUCACCUCAAGAAAACAAGAGAGGGAGAGAUAGAGAGAGAGAGAGAGAGAGAGAGAGAUCAAACACAUAGCUACUGGUACAUACCCUCACCCCCGAGGGAGAACUACUCCCUCCUCGUCAUGGAGAGCACUGAGAUGAUGAAGAUGGCCACCGGAGAGGGAUUGCCCCCUCCAGCAGGGUGCCGGAAUGGGUCUAGAUUGGCUUUCGGUGGCUACGGAGGCUUCUGGCGGCGGAACUCCCGAUCUAUUGUGCUCCCCGAUCAUUUUAGGGUAUAUGGAUAUAUAUAUAUAUAGGCGGAAGAAGUACGUCAGGGGGGCCACGAGGGGCCCACGAGGGUGGAGGGCGUGCCCAGGGGGUGGGCGUGCCCCCCUACCUCGUGGCUUCCUCGAAGCUCCCUUGACGUGGACUCCAAGUCUCCCGGGUUGCUUUCCUUCCAAAAAUAAGUUCCGUGAAGUUUCAGGGCAAUUGGACUCCGUUUGAUUUUCCUUUUCUGCGAUACUCUAAAACAAGGAAAAAACAGAAACUGGCACUGGGCUCUGGGUCAAUAGGUUAGUCCCAAAAAUAAUAUAAAAGUGUAUAAUAAAGCCCAUAAACAUCCAAAACACAUAAUAUAAUAGCAUGGAACAAUAAAAAAUUAUAGAUACAUUGCAGACGUAUCAUCAUCCCCAAGCUUAAUUACUGCUCGUCCUCGAGUAGGUAAAUGAUAAAAACAGAAUUUUUGAUGUGGAAUGCUACUUGGCAUAAUUUCAAUGUAAUUCUUCUUAAUUGUGGUAUGAAUAUUCAGAUCCAAAAGAUUCAAGAUAAAAGUUCAUAUCGACAUAAAAAUAAUAAUACUUCAAGUGUACUAACUAAGCAAUUAUGUCCUCUCAAAAUAACAUGGCCAAAGAAAGUUCAUCCCUACAAAAUCAUAUAGUUUAGUCAUGCUCCAUUUUCGUCACAUAAGAAUGCUCUCAUCAUGCACAACCCCGAUGACAAGCCAAGCAAUUGUUUCUCAAACUUUAUAAACCUUCACGUAAUACAUGAGCGCGAGCCAUGGAUAUAGCACUAUGGGUGGAAUAGAAUAUGAUGAUGGGGUUUAUGUGGAGAAGAAAAAAAAGGAGAAAGUCUCACAUCAACGAGGCUAAUCAAUGGGCUAUGGAGAUGCCCAUUGAUUGAUGUUAAUGCAAGGAGUAGGGAUUGCCAUGCAACGGAUGCACUAGAGCUAUAAAUGUAUGAAAGCUCAACAAAAUAAACUAAGUGGGUGUGCAUCCAACUUGCUUGCUCACGAAGACCUAGGGAACUUGAGGAGGCCCAUUGUUGGAAUAUACAAGCCAAGUUCUAUAAUGAAAAUUCCCACUAGUAUAUGAAAGUGACAAAACAAGAGACUCUCUAUCGUAAAGAUCAUGGUGCUACUUUGAAGCACAAGUGUGGAAAAAGGAUAGUAGCAUUGUCCCUUUUUAUUUUUUUAUUUUUAUUUUUUUAUUUGGCCCUUUUUUAUUUGGCCUUUCUUUUUCUUUCUUUAUUUGGCCCUUCUUUUGGGGGGGGACAAUGCUCUAUUAAUGAUGAUCAUCACACUUCCAUUUAUUUACAACUCAAAGAUUACAACUCGAAACUAGAACAAGAUAUGACUCUAUAUGAAUGCCUCCGGCGGUGUGCCGGGAUUGCGAUGAAUCAAGAGCGACAUGUAUGAAAAAUUAUGAGCGAAAUGAAGCAAUGUUGCUAAAUUUAUGCUUUACUGGUCAUGAAUGCAUGAUGGACUAGUCUGCAUGACGCUCAUUGAUGACCCACAAGUAUAGGGGAUCUAUCGUAGUCCUUUCGAUAAGAAGAGUGUCGAACCCAACGAGGAGCAGAAGGAAAUGACAAGUGGUUUUUAGCAAGGUAUUCUCUGCAAGCACUGAAAUUAUCGAUAACAGAUAGUUUUGUGAUAAGAUAAUUCGUAACAGGUAACAAGUAACAAAAGUAACUAAGGUGCAGCAAGGUGGCCCAAUCCUUUUUGUAGCAAAGGACAAGCCUGGAUGAACUCUUAUAUAAUGCAAAGCACUCCCAAGGACACAUGGGAAGCACUGUCAAGCUAGUCUUCAUCAUGCUCAUAUGAUUCGCAUUUGUUACUUUGAUAAUUUGAUAUGUGGGUGGACCGGCGCUUGUGUGAUGUCCUUGUUUGUACAGGCCUCCUACUUAUGAUUAACCCCUCCCGCAAGCAUCCGUAACUACGAAAGAAGAAUUAAGAUAAAUCUAACCAUAGCAUGAAACAUAUGGAUCCAAAUCAGCCCCUUACGAAGCAACGCAUAAACUAGGGUUUAAGAUUCUGUCACUCUAGCAACCCAUCAUCUACUUAUUACUUCCCAAUGCCUUCCGCUAGGCCCAAACAAUGGUGAAGUGUCAUGUUGUCAACGUUCACAUAACACCACUGGAGGAAAGACAACAUACAUCUCAUCAAAAUAUCGAACGAAUACCAAAUUCACAUGAUUGCUUAUAACAAGACUUCUCCCAUGUCCUCGGGAACAAACGUAACUACUCACAAAGCAUAUUCAUGUUCAUAAUCAGAGGAGUAAUAAUUAUCAUUAAGGAUCCGAACAUAUGAUCUUCCACUGGAUAAACCAACUAGCUAGCAUCAACUACAAGGAGUAAUCAACACUACUAGCAACCCAUAGUUACCAAUCUGAGGUUUUGAGACAGAGAUCGGAUACAAGAGAUGAACUAGGGUUUGAGAGGAGAUGGUGCUGGUGAAGAUGUUGAUGGAGGUUGACUCCCUCUCGGUGAGAGGAUCAUUGGUGAUGACGAUGGCGAUGAUUUCCCCCUCUGGGGGGAAGUUUCCCCGGCAGAACAGCUCCGCCAGAGCCCUAGAUUGGUUCUGCCCAGGUUCCGCCUCGAGACGGCGGCGCUUCGUCCCAAAAGCUUCCUUCUGAUUAUUCCAGGUCAAAACACACCAUAUAGCAGAAGAUGGGCAUCGGAGGUCUGCUAGGGGCCCACAAGGCAGGGGGCGAGCCCAGGGGGUAGGGCGCGCCCCCACCCUUGUGGAUGGCUGGUGGGGCCCCUCUGGUGCUUUCUUCACCCAAUAUUUUUUUUAUUCCAAAAUAAUUCUCCGUGAAGUUUCAGGACUUUAAUAUUUUCUCCUUUUCCAGUCCAGAAUUCCAGCUGCCGGCAUUCUCCGUCUUCAUGUAAACCUUGUAAAAUAAGAGAGAAAAGGCAUAAGUAUUGUGAUAUAAUGUGCAAUAACAGCCCAUAAUUCAAUACAUGUCAAUAUAAAAGGAUGAUGCAAAAUGGACGUAUCAACUGCCCCAAGCUUAGACCUCGCUUGUCCUCAAGCGAAAACCGAAAUCGAAAAAUAUGUCCACAUGUCUAGAGAUAGAGGUGUUGAUAAAAUAAAAUACGGACAUGAGGGCAUCAUGAUCAUCUUUAAAAUAGCAACAUAUAUUGUCAUAUAAUUUCUUAUGCUAAAGUGACAAUUCAUUCACAAGGUAAAGUAUGAAUUAGAAACUUCAUUGAAAACUAACAAACUAUGAUCUCAGUCAUUGAAGCAAUUGCAAUUUAUCAUAACAUCAGAAAGAGUCGAUUCAAGAGCUUUUUAGCAAGUCCACAUACUCAACUAUCAUUUAGUCUUUCACAAUUUCUAACACUCAUGCGAUACUUAUGGGUUCAAAGCUUCAAUCGGACACAGAGAAAGAUAGGGGCUUAUAGUUUUGCCUCCCAACCUUUUACCUCAAGGGUAAUGUCAACAAUAAUACUUUAUGAUACCCUACAUCCGAGUGGAUAUAUAUAUCUGAAGGAAAUAUGCCCUAGAGGCAACAAUAAAGUUGUUAUUUAACCGGAAACUUGAUACAUGUGUGGAUACAUAGACAAAACACCAUGUCCCUAGUAAGCCUCUACUAGACUAGCUCGUUAAUCAAAGAUGGUUAAGUUUCCUAACCAUAGACAUGUCUUGUCAUUUGAUGAACGGGAUUAUAUCAUUAGGAGAAUGAUCUGAUGGACAAUACCCAUCCGUUAGCUUAGCAUGUUUAUCGUUCAGUUUUAUUGAUAUAGCUUUCUUCAUGUCAUAUACAUAUUCCUUUGACUAUGAUAUUAUGCAACUCCCGGAUACUGAAGGAAUACCUUGUGUGCUAUCAAACGUCACAAUGAAACUGGGUGAUUAUAAAGAUUCUCUACUGGUAUCUCCGAAGGUGUUUAUUGGGUUGGCAUAGAUCGAGAUUACGAUUUUUCAAUCCAAGUAUCGGAGAGGUAUCUCUAGGCCCUCUCGGUAAUACACAUCACAAUAAGCCUUGCAAGCAAUGUUACUAAUGAGUUAGUUACGGGAUGAUGUAUUAAGAAACGAGUAAAGAGACUUGCAGGUAACAAGAUUGAACUAGGUAUGAAGAUAUCGACGAUUGAAUCUCGGGCAAGUAACAUACCGAUGACAAAGGGAAUGACGUAUGUUGUCAUUGCGGUUUGACCGAUAAAGAUCUUCAUAGAAUAUGUAGGAACCAAUAUGAGCAUCAAGGUUCCGAUGUUGGUUAUUGACCAGAGAUGUGUCUUGGUCAUGUCUACAUAGUUCUCGAACCCGUAGGGUCCACACGCUUAACGUUCGAUGAUGAUUUGUAUUGUGAGUUGUGUGUUUUGGUGACCGAAGAUUGUUCAGAGUCCCGGAUGAGAUCGCAGACAUGACGAGGAGUCUCGAAAUGGUCGAGAGGUAAAGAUUGAUAUAUUGGACGAUAGUAUUAGGACACCGGAAUGGUUCUCGAGUGUUUCGGAUACUUAUUGGAGUACCGGUGGGUUAUCGGAACCCCCCGGGGAAAGUUAUGGGCCACAUGGGCCUUGGGAGGGAGGCACACCCGCCCACAAGGGGCUGGCGCGCCCCCCACUUGGAAGGGGUUUGAUACAUCUCCGUUGUAUCUACUUUUCCAAACACUUUUGCCCUUGUUUUGGACUCUAACUUUCAUGAUUUGAAUGGAACUAACCCGGACUAACGCUGUUUUCAGUAGAAUUGCCAUGGUGCUAUUUUAGUGCAGAAAUAAAAGUUCUCAGAAUGACCUAAAAAUCAACGGAGAUUAUUUUUGGAAUAUAUAAAGAAUAUUGGAAGAAAGAUCCACGUCAGGGGGGCCACACCCUGUCCACGAGGGUGGGGGCGCGCCCUACCCCCUGGGUGAGCCCCCCUGCCUCGUGGGCCCCCUGAUGCUCCACCGACCUCAACUCCAACUCCAUAUAUUCGUGUUCGGGGAGGAAAAAAUCAGGGAGAAGGAUUCGUCGCGUUUUACAAUAUGGAGCCGCCGCCAAGCCCUAAACUCUAUCGGGAGGGCUGAUCUGGAGUCCGUUCGGGGCUCUGGAGAGGGGAAUCCGUCGCCAUCGUCAUCAUCAACCUUCCUCCAUCACCAAUUUCAUGAUGCUCACUGCCGUGUGUGAGUAAUUCCAUCGUAGGCUUGCUGUAUGGUGAUGGGUUGGAUGAGAUUUAUCAUGUAAUCGAGUUAGUUUUGUUAGGGUUUGAUCCCUAGUAUCCACUAUGUUCUGAGAUUGAUGUUGCUAUGACUUUCCUAUGCUUAAUGCUUGUCACUAGGGCCCAAGUGCCAUGAUUUCAGAUAUGAACCUAUUAUGUUUUCAUCUAUAUAUGAGAGUUCUUGAUCCUAUCUUGCAAGUCUAUAGUCACCUAUUAUGUGUUAUGAUCUGUUAACCCCAAAGUGACAAUAAUCGGGAUACUUACCGGUGAUGACCGUAGUUUGAGGAGUUCAUGUAUUCACUAUGUGUUAAUGCUUUGGUCCGGUACUCUAUUAAAAGGAGGCCUUAAUAUCCCUUAGUUUCCAAUAGGACCCCGCUGCCACGAGAGGGUAGGACAAAAUAUGUCAUGCAAGUUCUUUUCCAUAAGCACGUAUGACUAUAUUCGAAAUACAUGCCUACAUUACAUUGAUGAACUGGAGCUAGUUCUGUGUCACCCUAUGUUAUGACGGUUACAUGAACUAGGGUUUUGAGAUGAGAUGGUGCUGAUGAAGAUGUUGAUGGAGAUUGCCCUCUCCCGAUGAGAGGAGCUUUGGUGAUGACGAUGGCGAUGAUUUCCCCCUCCGGGAGGGAAGUUUCCCCCGUAGAACAGCUCUGCCGGAGCUCUAGAUUGGAUCCGCCAAGGUUCCGCCUCGUGGCGGCGGAGUUUCAUCCUGAAAGGUUGCUUCUUAUUUUUUCUCGAAGAAAGACUUCAUAUAGGAGAAGAUGGUCAUCAGAGAGCCACUAGGGGGCCCACGAGGUAGGGGGGCGCCCUAGGGGGGCUCCCCCCACCCUCGUGGAAAGGGUGUGGGCCCCCUGGUCUUCAUCUUUGGCGAGGAUUUUUCAUUAUUUAUUAUAAGGUAUUCCGUGGAGUUUUAGGACUUUUGGAGUUGUGCAGAAUAGGUCUCUAAUAUUUGCUCCUUUUCCAGCCCAAAAUUCCAGCUGCCGGCAUUCUCCCUCCUUAUGUAAACCUUGUAAAAUAAGAGAGAAUAGCCAUAAGUAUUGUGACAUAAUGUGAAAUAACAGCCCAUAAUGCAAUAAAUAUCGAUAUAAAAGCAUGAUGCAAAAUGGACGUAUCAACUCCCCCAAGCUUAGACCUUGCUUGUCCUCAAGCGAAAGCCGAUACCAAUAAAUAUGUCCCCAUGUUUAGAGGUAGAGGCGUCGAUAAAAAUAAAAUACGGACAUGAGGGCAUCAUGAUUAUUCUCAUAACAGCAACAUACAUAGAUAUUGUCAUAUGAUUACUUAUCUUCAAGUGAUGAUCUAUUCACAAUGCAAAAGUAUGAAUCAGAAACCUUAUUGAGAACCAAUAAACUAUAACCUCAGUCAUUGAAGCAAUUGCAAUUUAUCAUAACAUCAGAAAGAUUCUAUGUCAGAGCUAAAAAGCAAGUCCACAUACUCAACUAUCAUCUAGUCCUUCAUAAUUGCUAACACUCGUGCAAUACUUAUGGUUACGGAGUUUUAAUCGGACACAGAGAAAGAUAGGGGCUGGCUUAUAGUUUCGCCCCACAACCUUUUACCUCAAGGGUAAUGUCAACAAUAAUAACUCAUGCCCCCCUACAUCCAAUUAGAUAUAUCUAUCAGGAUCUUUCCAACACAUUGUGCUUGCCAAAGGAUAAAAUGUAAAAAGGAAAGGUGAAGAUCACCAUGACUCUUGCAUAAGGUAGAAGGUAAUAAUUAAAGAUAGGCCCUUCGCAGAGUGAAGCAGAGGUUGCCAUGCGCUUUUAUGGUUGGAUGCACAAAAUCUUAAUGCGAAAGAACGCCACUUUAUAUUGCCCCUUGUGAUAUGAACCUUUAUUAUGCAGUCCGUCACUUUUAUUACUUCCACAUCACAAGAUCGUAUAAAGCUUAUUUCUCCCACAUUAAUCAUACAUAUUUAGAGCAAUUUUUAUUACUUGCACCGAUGACAACUUACUUGAAGGAUCUUACUCAAUCCAUAGGUAGAUAUGGUGGACUCUCAUGGCAAAACUGGUUUAAGGGUAUUUGGAAGCACAAGUAGUAUCUCUACUUGGUGCUGAGGAUUUGGCUAGCAUGAGGGGGAAAAGGCAAGCUCAACAUGUUGGAUGAUCCAUGACAACAUACUUUAUCUCAGAUAUAAGAAAACAUAACCCAUUACGUUGUCUUCCUUGUCCAACAUCAACUCUUUAGCAUGUCAUAUUUUGAUGAGUGCUCCCAAUCAUAAAAGAUGUCAAUAAUAGUAUAUUUAUAUGUGAAACCUCUCUUUCCUUAUUACUUCCUAUUAAUUGCAACGAUGACCAAAGCUAUGUCUGCCAACUCCCAACAACUUUUAAUCAUCACACUCUUUCUAUGUGAAGUCAUUACUAUCAAUAAGAUCAAUAUGAACUUUUGUUUCUUCUUAUUCUUUUUCUCUUUUCUUUUAUUCACCCAAGAUCAUAGCAAGAAAAUCAAGCCCUUGACUCAAUCACUAAUCUUUAUUAUAUAGCUCAAGGACUCGAUUACAUAGGAGGAGGAUAAAGCAAAACUCAUGACUAGAUCAUACUAAGAACUUUUAUUCUACUAGAUCAAAAUAUUACCAAAAGGAUCGAACUAAGAAAAACGGUAAAGAUAAAAGUGAUGGUGAUACGAUACCGGGGCACCUCCCCCAAGCUUGGCAGUUGCCAAGGGGAGUGCCCAUACCCAUGUGAUUAUAUCUCCUUGGUUGGUGAAGAAGAUGGAGGUGUUGUUGAUGAUGCGGGCUUGUCAUCCAUCUUCCAAGGCAUAGGUUCACCAUCAUAGAAGGAUGAUCGAGUCUCCGGAAUCCUCGAAUCUGCAGCCAAACUCAUUCUUUUGAAUCUAAAUUCAUACUCACAGUUUUGGUUUUGCAGGUCAUAGAUUUGUGCUUGGAGGUGCUCGAUCUUCUCAUAUAGCUUGAAGAUGGCCUCCUCGGUGUUCUCGGCAUCCGGCUUGUAGUUGUUAGUGAACUCCGCCAGCAUCGUGUGACUAGCGUUGAUUCCACGCUCCACCAUCCCCUGGCACUUGAAAACUUGUUGCUCCAUUGCUUCGAGCCUCGUCUCCACGCUUCCGGUUCCCUUUGGUCCCUUAGCAUCGCGGAUGUGCAGCAACCCAUCACGCAUCUCAAUGGUUUGAGGGUGUCGCAGCACCUCCGCGAGGUAAGGGUUGAUGACCUUCUCGAAGAACUUGUCCUUGGAAGCACUUGGGGACGUCAUGAUAAUCUAGAUCUAUCAGAAAAAUAGCUCGAAACAAAAACAGAGAAUAUUUGCGUGAUACAGGAGUCAAAACCUUCAGGAGAAUAUAUAGUGAUUUUUUACCGACCAAAAUAUGUAUCGUGCAAGAAAACAGAGUCCGGAAGGCACAUGAGGUGCUCACGAGGUAGGGGGGCACGCCCAGGGGGUAGGGCGCGCCCUCCACCCUCGUGGGGCCCUCGUGUCCUUCCCGGACUGCUACUUAAUUUUCUAUUUUUCUAAAUAUUCCAAAACGGAGAAAUAUUGCCUUAAAAAUUGUUUUGGAGUCGGUUUACUUACCGUACCACAUACCUAUUCCUUUUCGGAGUCUGAAACAUUCUGUAAAGUGUCUCUUAUGUAUUCCUCCGGGGUUACAGUUUCAAUAAUAUUGGUUUCAAUAUUUAUGGGAUUACCUGAGAUAUAAUGUUUAAUUCUCUAACUGUUUACCACCUUUAGAUUUGUGCCUUCGAAGUUGUUGAUUUUUAUGGCACCGGAACGAUUGACCUCCUCGAUAACAUAGGGGCCUUCCCAUUUAAAGAGAAGUUUUCCUGCAAAAAAUCUUAAACGAGAGUUGUAUAGCAAUACAUAAUCACCUACAUUAAACUCACGCUCUUGUAUCCUAUUGCCAUGCCAUCUUUUAACCUUUUCUUUAAACAACUUGGCAUUUUCAUAAGCUUGGGUUCUCCAUUCAUCAAGUGAGCUAAUAUCAAAUAACCUCUUUUCACCGGCAAGUUUGAAAUCAUAGUUGAGCUCUUUAAUAGCCCAACAUGCCUUAUGUUCUAGUUCGAGAGGUAAGUGACAUGCUUUUCCAUAUACCAUUUUAUACAAAGACAUACCCAUAGGCUUUUUAUAUGCAGUUCUAUAGGCCCAUAAUGCAUCAUCAAGUUUCUUGGACCAAUUCUUUCUAGAUCUAUUGAGAGUCUUUUGCAAAAUAAAUUUGAGUUCUCUAUUACUCAAUUCUACUUGACCACUAGACUGUGGGUGAUACGGAGAUGCAAUUCUAUGAUUGACGUCAUAUUUAGCAAGCAUUUUACGGAAAGCACCAUGAAUUAAAUGUGAACCACCAUCAGUCAUUAAAUAUCUAGGGACUCCAAACCUCGGAAAAAUAACUUCUUUAGGCAUUUUAAUAGAAGUGUUAUGAUCAGCACUACUAGUUGGAAUAGCUUCUACCCACUUAGUAACAUAAUCAACAGCAACUAAAAUAUGUGUAUAUCCAUUAGAGGCAGGAAAAGGUCCCAUAUAAUCAAAGCCCCAAACAUCAAAUGGUUCAAUAACAAGUGAAUAAUUCAUAGGCAUUUCUUGACGUCUACUAAUAUUACCAAUUCUUUGACAUUCAUUAGAAGAUAGGACAAACUUACGGGCAUCCUUGAAGAGAGUAGGCCAAUAAAAACCUGAUUGCAAUACCUUAUGUGCAGUUCUAUCUCCCGCGUGGUGUCCUCCAUAAGUUUUGGAGUGGCACUUGCGUAGGAUCUGUUCCUGUUCAUGCUCAGGUACACAACAUCUAAUAACACCAUCUACUCCUUCUUUAUAAAGAUGUGGGUCAUCCCAAAAGUAAUGUCUCAAAUCAAAGAAGAACGUUUUCUUUUGUUGGUAUGUGAAGCUAGGUGGUAUAAAUUUAGCAACUAUGUAAUUAGCAUAAUCAGCAUACCAAGGGGUACUACGAGAAGUACUUAUGACAUUUAAUUGUUCAUCAGGAAAGUUAUCAUCAAUAGGUAGUGGGUCAUCAAGAACAUUCUCUAACCUAGAUAAGUUGUCUGCAACGGGGUUCUCAGCUCCUUUUCUAUCAACAAUAUGCAAAUCAAAUUCUUGUAGCAAGAGAACCCAUCUAAUAAGUCUAGGUUUAGCAUCUUUCUUCUCCAUAAGAUAUUUAAUAGCAGUAUGAUCAGUGUGGACAGUUACUUUAGAAUCAACAAUAUAAGGUCUAAAAUUAUCACAAGCAAAUACAACUGCUAAAAGUUCUUUUUCAGUAGUAGCAUAAUUUCUUUCAGCAUUGUCUAGAGUCUUACUAGCAUAAUGGAUAACAUUUAAUUUUUUAUCAACUCUUUUCCCUAGAACAACACCUACAGCAUAAUCGCUAGCAUCACACAUAAUUUCAAAGGGUAAAUUCCAAUCAGGUGGCUGAACAAUAGGUGCAGAGACUAAUGCUUUCUUAAGUAUUUCAAAUGCUUCUACACAAUCAUCAUCAAAGACAAAUGGUAUAUCUUUUUGUAAUAAAUUAGUCAGAGGCCGAGAAAUUUUUUAGAAGUCCUUAAUGAACCUCCUAUAAAAUCACCUUUGAUGUCCUUGGGACAUGGCAUCUUUUCAAUAGCAUCAACCUUGGCUUUAUCAACUUCAAUACCUCUUUCAGAAACUUUAUGCCCCAAGACAAUACCCUCAUUAACCAUAAAGUGGCACUUUUCCCAAUUCAAGACAAGAUUAGUUUCUUCACAUCUCUGCAAAAGUCGAUCAAGAUUGCUCAAGCAAUCAUCAAAAGAAGAUCCAUAGAUGGAAAAGUCGUCCAUGAAAACCUCACAAAUCUUUUCACAAAAGUUAGAGAAUAUAGCCAUCAUGCAUCUUUGAAAGGUAGCGGGUGCAUUACAUAAACCAAAAGGCAUACGUCUAUAAGCAAAAGUACCAAAAUGGCAUGUAAAAGUAGUCUUUGAUUGAUCUUUAGCCGACACAGGUAUUUGAGAGAAACCAGAAUAACCAUCUAGAAAGUAGUAAUGUGUAUGUUUGCAUAAUCUUUCUAGCAUUUUAUCGAUAAAAGGUAAGGGGUGAUGAUCUUUCUUAGUAGCCUUAUUUAAUUUGCGGAAAUCAAUUACCAUCCUAUAACCUGUAAUAAUUCUUUGUGGAAUCAAUUCAUCUUUAUCAUUAGCAACAACAGUAAUACCUCCCUUCUUAGGGACACAAUGAACAGGACUUACCCACUGACUAUCAGCAACGGGAUAAAUUAUACCUGCCUCCAGAAGCUUUAGUAUUUCUUUUCUUACCACUUCUUUCAUUUUAGGAUUCAGACGUUGUUGAGGAUCACGAACUGGUUGGCAUCUGCUUCCAAAUUUAUUUUAUGUUGACAUAGAGUGGGACUAAUGCCCUUAAGAUCAUCAAGAGUAUAUCCAAUAGCAGCACAGUGCUUCUUCAGAGUUUUCAAUAAUCUUUCUUCUUCAUGCUCUGAAAGGUAGCACUAAUAAUAACAGGAUAUAUCUUCUUUUCAUCAAAAUAAGCAUAUUUAAGAUUAUCAGGCAACGGUUUAAGCUCAAACACGGGAUCACCCUUAGGUGGAGGGGGGUCCCCUAGGAUUUCAACAGGCAAAUUGUGUUUCAGAAUAGGUUCCUGUUUAAAGAAUACUUCAUCUAUUUCCCUUCUUUCAUUCAUAAACAUAUCAUUCUCAUGGUCUAACAAAUAUUGUUCUAAAGGAUCACUAGGAGGUACGGCAAUAGAAGCAAGACCAAUAAUUUCAUCCUUACUAGGCAAUUCUUCUUCUCGGUGUUGUUUACUAAAUUUGGAGAAAUUAAAUUCAUGAGUCAUAUCAUCCAAGCCAAUAGUAACAACAUUCUUUUCGCAGUCUAUCUUAGCAUUAAUAGUGUUCAAGAAGGGUCUACCAAAUAUAAUGGGACAAAAGCUAUCUUGUGGGGAACUAAGAACAAGAAAAUCAGCAGGAUAUUUAUUUUUUCCGCAAAUACUUCAACAUCUCUAACAAUUCCCACUGCUGAAAUAGUAUCUCUCUUAGCAAGUUUAAUUGUGACAUCAAUAUCUUCUAACUCAGCAGGUGCAAUUUCAUGCUUGAUUUCUUUAUACAAGUCAAAAGGUAUAACACUAGCACUAGCACCCAUAUCACAUAAGCCAUGAUAACAAUGUUCUCCUAUUUUAACAGAAAUAGCAGGCACGUCUACCACAGGUCUAUGUUUAUCUUUAGCACAAGGUUUAGCAAUUCUAGCAGUUUCACCGUAGAACUGAAUAACAUGCCCAUCAAUAUAAACAGACAAGAGCUCUUUAACAAUAGCAAUAUUAGGUUCUACUUUAACUUGCUCAGGAGGUGUAUAUAUUUUAAUAUUGCUUUUACGAACCACAGUUGAAGCUUUAGCAUGAUCCUUUAUCCUAAUAGGGAAAGGUGGUUUCUCAACAUAACAAAUAGGAGCAAUAGGAUCAUUAUAAGUGACAAUCUUUUCUUCAACUUUAAUAGGUGCAGCUACUUUUACUUCUAUGGGAGGAUGAUAUUUAAACCACUUCUCCUUAGGGAGAUCAACAUAAGUAGCAAAAGAUUCACACAAAGAAGCUACUAUCUCAGAAUCAAGUCCAUAUUUAGUUCUAAACUUAGGGAAAAUAUCAGUAUCCAUAAAAGAUUUAACACAAUCAAAACUAGGUGCCAUACCUGACUCCUUACCAUUGUCGAGGUCCCAAUCUUCAGAGUUGCGUUUAAUUAUAUCCAAUAAAUCCCAUCUAAAUCCAAUAGUCUUCAUCAUAAAAGAGCCAGCACAAGAAGUAUCGAGCAUGGUGCGAUUAUUUUCAGAAAGCCGAGCAUAAAAUUUUUGAAGAAUUGUUUCUCUUGGAAGCUCAUGAUUGGGGCAUGAAUAUAACAUUGAUUUAAGCCUCCCCCAAGCUUGAGCGAUGCUUUCUCCUUCUCGAGGCCAAAAAUUAUAUAUAUAUAUAUAAUUGCGGUCACAAUAAACAAGAUGCAUAGGGUAAUACUUUUGAUGAAAUUCCAAUUUCAAUCUUCUAUAGUUCCAUGAUCUCGUAUCAUCACAUAGUCUAUACCAUGUCAAUGCAUCUCCCUUCAAAGAUAAAGGGAAGACCUUAUUCUUAGCAACAUCAUCGGGUAUACCUGCAAGCUUAAAUAAUCCACAAACUUCAUCCACAUAUAUUAGGUGUUCAUCAGGAUGCUUUGUUCCAUCUCCUGUAAAAGGAUUAGCUAGCAGUUUUUCUAUCAUACCCGAAGGAUACUCAUAAGGAAUUUCGUUUUCAUAUUCAUUUUCAAUAGGUUCAGUAGGUUGAGGAGCAACUCUUUGCUCUACUGGUCGGGGUGAAGAUACCCUGAACAAGCCCCUCAGAGGAUUACUUUCCAUAGUAACAAGUGACAGUAAAUUUCAGCACACUAUAUAACUUUUUCCUUACCAAAUUCCACCUACCAAAGGCGCUUCACUCCCUAGCAACGGCGCCAGAAAAGAGUCUUGAUGACCCACAUGUAUAGCGGAUCUCUCGUAGUCCUUUCGAUAAGUAAGAGUGUCGAACCCAACGAGGAGCAGAAGGAAAUGAUAAGCGGUUUUCAGUAAGGUAUUCUCUACAAGUACUGAAAUAAGUGGUAACAGAUAGUUUUGUGAUAAGAUAAUUUGUAACGAGCAACAAGUAACAAAAGUAAAUAAAGUGCAGCAAGGUGGCCCAAUCCUUUUUGUAGCAAAGGACAAGCCUGGAAAAACUCUUGUAUAAGGAAAAGCGCUCCCGAGGACACAUGGGAAUAUCGUCAAGCUAGUUUUCAUCACGUUCAUACGAUUCGCGUUCGGUACUUUGAUAAUUUGACAUGUGGGUGGACCGAUGCUUGGGUGCUGUUCUUACUUGAACAAGCAUCCCACUUAUGAUUAACCUCUAUUGCAAGCAUCCGCAACUACAACAAAAGUAUUAAGGUAAACCUAACCAUAGCAUGAAACAUAUGGAUCCAAAUCAGCCCCUUACGAAGCAACGCAUAAACUAGGGUUUAAGCUUCUGUCACUCUAGCAACCCAUCAUCUACUUAUUACUUCCCAAUGCCUUCCUCUAGGCCCAAAUAAUGGUGAAAUGUUAUGUAGUCGACGUUCACAUAACACCACUAGAGGCUAGACAACAUACAUCUCAUCAAAAUAUCAAACGAAUACCAAAUUCACAUGACUACUAAUAGCAAGACUUCUCCCUUGUCCUCAGGAACAAACAUAACUACUCACAAAGCAUAUUCAUGUUCAUAAUCAGAGGGGUAAUAAUAUGCAUAAAGGAUCUGAACAUAUGAUCUUCCACCAAUUAAACCAACUAUCAUCAACUACAAGGAGUAAUUAACACUACUAGCAACCUACUAGCACCAAUCCCAGACUUGGAGACAAGAAUUGGAUACAAGAGAUGAAGUAGGCUUUUGAGAUGAGAUGGUGCUGAUGAAGAUGUUGAUGGAGAUUUCCCUCUCCCGAUGAGAGGAGCAUUGGUGAUGACGAUGGCGAUGAUUCCCCCCUCCGGGAGGGAAGUUUCCCCGGCAGAACAGCUCUACCGGAGCUCUAGAUUGGAUCCGCCAAGGUUCCGCCUCGUGGCGGCGGAGUUUCGUCCCGAAAGGUUGCUUCUUAUUUUUUUUCUCGACGAAAGACUUCAUAUAGGAGAAGAUGGUCAUCGGAGAGCCACCAGGGGGCCCACGAGGUAGGGGGUGCGCCCUAGGGGGGGCACCCCCCACCCUCAUGGAAAGGGUGUGGGCCCCCUGGUCUUCAUCUUUGGCGAGGAUUUUUCAUUAUUUAUUAUAAGGUAUUCCGUGGAGUUUCAGGACUUUUGGAGUUGUGCAGAAUAGGUCUCUAAUAUUUGCUCCUUUUCCCGCCCAGAAUUCCAGCUGCCGGCAUUCUCCCUCCUUACGUAAACCUUGUAAAAUAAGAGAGAAUAGCCAUAAGUAUUGUGACAUAAUGUGAAAUAACAGCCCAUAAUGUAAUAAAUAUCGAUAUAAAAGCAUGAUGCAAAAUGGACGUAUCAUAUCUCUAUUGCUCAAUACUACUUGACCACUAGACUGAGGGUGAUAUGGGGAUGCAAUUCUAUGGUUGACAUCAUAUUGAGCAAGCAUUUUACGAAAAGCGCCAUGAAUAAAAUGUUAGCCACCAUCAGUCAUUAAAUAUCUAGGGACUCAAAACCUCAAAAAAUAACUUCUUUAAGCAUCUUAAUAGAAUUGUUAUAUGAUCAGCACUACUGGUUGGAAUUGCUUCUACCCACUUAGUAACGUAAUCAGCAACAACUAAAAUAUGUGUAUACCCAUUAUAGGAAGGAAAAGGUCCCAUAUAAUCAAAUCCCCAAACAUCAAAUGGUUCAAUAACAAGUGAAUAAUUCAUAGCCAUUUCCGGACGUCUACUAAUAUUUCCAAUUCUAUGGCAUUCAUCACAAGACAAGACAAACUUACGAGCAUCCUUGAAGAGAGUAGGCCAAUAAAAACCAGAUUGCAAUACCUUGUGUGCAGUUCUAUCUCUAGCAUGGUGUCCUCCGUAGGCCUCGAAGUGACACUUGCGUAGGAUCUGUUCCUGUUCAUGCUCAGUUACACAAUGUCUAAUAACACCAUCUACUCCUUCUUUAUAAAGGUGUGGGUCAUCCCAAAAGUAAUUUCUUAAAUCAUAGAAAAACUUUUUCUUUUGCUGGUAUGUGAAACUUGGUAGUAUAAAUUUAGCAACAAUGUAAUUAGCAUAAUCAGCAUACCAUGGAGUAUUACGAGAAGCAUUUAUGACAGUUAAUUGCUCAUCACGAAAGCUAUCAUCAAUAUGCAGUGGGUCAUCAAGAACAUUUUCUAACCUAGACAAGUUGUCUGCAACGGGGUUCUCAGCUCCCUUUCUAUCAAUAAUAUGCAAAUCAAAUUCUUGCAACAAGAGAACCCACCUAAUAAGUCUAGGUUUAGCAUCUUUCUUUUCCAUAAGAUAUUUAAUAGCAGUUUCCAGCAUGAUCAGUGUGAACAGUUACUUUGGAAUCAACAAUAUAAGAUCUGAACUUAUCACAAGCAAAAACAACUGCUAAAAUAUAUUUUUCGGUAGUAGCAUAAUUUCUCUAGGCACUGUCUAGAGUUCUACUAGCAUAAUGAAUAACAUUCAAUUUCUUAUCAACUCUUUGUCCUAGAACAACACCAAUGGCAUAAUCACUGGCAUCACACAUAAUUUCAAAGGGUAAAUUCCAAUCAGGUGGUUGAACAAUAGGUGCAGAAAUCAAGGCUUUCUUAAGUAUUUCAAAUGCUUCUACACAAUCAUCAUCGAAAACAAAAGGAACAUCUUUUUGCAAGAUAUUAGUGAGAGGCAUAGAAAUUUUAGAGAAGUCUUUAAUAAACCUCCUAUAGAAACCUGCAUGACCAAGGAAACUUUGUAUACCUUUGAUAUCUUUAGGACACGACAUCUUUUCGAUAGCACCUACUUUAGCUUUCUCAACUUCAAUACCUCUUUCAGAAAUUUUAUGCCCCAAGACAAUACCUUCAUUAACCAUAAAGUGGCACUUCUCCCAAUUCAAGACAAGAUUAGUUUCUUCACAUCUCUGCAGAACUCGAUCAAGGUUGCUCAAGCAAUCAUCAAAAGAAGUUCUGUAAACAGAGAAAUCAUCCAUGAAAACCUCAACAAUCUUUUCACAAAAGUCAGAGAAUAUAGCAGUCAUACAUCUUUGAAAGGUAGCAAGUGCAUUGCAUAAAACAAAAGGCAUAUGUCUAUAAGCAAAAGUACUGAAAGGGCAAGUAAACGUGGUCUUUUCUUGGUCCUCUUUUGACACGGGUAUUUGAGAAAAAACAGAAUAACCAUCUAGAAAGCAAAAUUGUGUAUGUUUGGAUAGUCUUUCUAGCAUUUUAUCGAUAAACGGUAGAGGGUAAUGAUCUUUCCUAGUCGCUUUGUUUACUUUGCAAAAAUCAAUUACCAUUCUAUAACCUGUAACAAUUCUUUGUGGGAUCAAUUCAUUCUUAUCAUUAGGAACAACAGUAAUACCUCCCUUCUUAGGGACACAAUGAACAAGAAUUACCCAUCUACUAUUAGCAAUAGGAUAAAUUAUACCUGCCUCCAGAAGCUUUAAUAUUUUAUUUCUUACCACUUCUUUCAUCUUAGGAUUUAACUGUCGUUGAUGAUCAACAACUGGUUUAGCAUCAGGCUCCAUAUUAAUUUUGUGCUGACAUAGAGUAGGACCAAUCCCUUAAGAUCUUCAAGAGUAUAUCCAAUAGCGGCAUGGUGCUUCUUUAAGAGUUUUCAAUAAUUUCUUUUCUUCAUGCUCUGAAAGGUUAGCACUAAUAAUUACAGGAUAUAUCUUCUUUUCAUCAACAUAAGCAUAUUUCAAAGUAUCGGGUAAUUGUUUGAACUCAAAGACGGGAUCACCCUUGGGUGGAGGAGGAUCUCCAAGGAUUUCAAAAGGCAAAUUGUGUUUCAAAACAGGCAUUUGGUUAAAGGAUAUUUCAUCUAAUUCCUUUCUUUCAUUCAUAAACAUAUCAUUCUCAUGAUCUAGCAAAUAUUGUUCUAAAGGAUCAGUAGGAGGCACGGCAAUAGAAGCAAGACCAAUAAUUUCAUCCUUACUAGGAAAUUCUUUAUCAUGAGGUUGUCUACGAAAUUUAGAGAAAUUAAAAUCAUGAGACAUAUCCCCAAAACUUACAGUAAUAAUUUCUUUCUCACAGUCUAUCUUAGCAUUAACAAUGUUCAAGAAGGUCUACCGAAUAUAAUGGGACAAAAAUCAUAUUGUGGGGAACCAAGAACAAGAAAAUCAUUAGGGUAUUUUAUUUUCCCACACAAAACUUCAACAUCGCUAACAAUCCCAAUUGGUGAUAUAGUAUCUCUAUUGGCAAACUUAAUAGUAACAUCAAUAUCUUCUAUCUCAGCAGGUGCAAUAUCAUUCAUAAUUUCUUGAUAUAAGGUAAAAGGAAUUGCACUCACACUAGCACCCACAUCACAUAAGCCAUGAUAACAAUGAUCUCCUAUUUUAACAAAAACAACAGGCAUGCCAACAACAAGUCUAUGUUUACCCUUAAUAUAGGGUUUAGCAAUUAUAGUAGCUUUAUCACAAAAUAAAUAACAUGCCCAUCAAUAUUAUCGACCAAGAGAUAUUUAUCCAUAGAAAUACUAGGUUCAAAUUUAAUUUGUUCACGGGGUGUAGGUGUAGUAUAACUCUUACAAACCACAGCUGAAGCUUUAGCAUGAUCCUUUAUCCUAACAGGAAAAGGUGGUUUCUCAAUAUAAGCAGUAGGAACAACAGGAUCAACAUUAUAAAUAAUAGUUUCACUUCAAUGGGUGGAUGGUAUUUAAACCACUUAUCCUUAGGGAGAUCAACAUGAGUAGGAAAUGAUUCACAAAAAGAAGCUACUAUCUCAUAGUCAAGUCCAUAUUUAGUGCUAAAAUCAUGAAAAGUAUCGGUAUCCAUAAAAGAUUUAACACAAUCAAACUUAAGGUUUAUACCUAACCCGUUACCUUCGCCGAGUUCCCAAUCUUCAAAGUUGUGUUUCUUUCCAAUAAAUCCCAUUUGAUUUCAACAGUCUUCUUCAUAAAAGAACCACUACAAGAAGUAUCAAGCAUGGAUUGAUCAUUACGAGAAAGUCGAGCAUAAAAAUUCUGAAUAAUAAUUUCUCUUAAGAGAUCAUGAUUGGGGAAUGAAUAGAACAUUGACUUAAGCUCCCGCAAUCUUGAGCAAUACUUUCUCCUUCACGAGGCCAAAAAUUAUAUAUAUAAUUCCGAACAUGAUGAACCACAUGCAUAGGAUAAAACUUUUGAUGAAAUUCCAAUUUCAAUCGGUUGUAGUUCCAUGAUCCAAUAUCAUCACAUAGCCUAUACCAUGUCAAUGCCUUCUCCUUCAAAGAUAAAGGGGUGACCUUCUUCUUUACUUCAUCCUCGGGCAAACCUGCAAGCUUAAAUAAUCCACAAACUUCAUCCACAUAUAUUAGGUGCAUAUCAGGAUGUAAUGUUCCAUCUCAUGCAUAAGGAUUAGCCAGAAGUUUCUCUAUCAUACCUGAAGGAAUUUCAUAAUAAAUAUUUUCAGUAGGUUUAGGAGAAACUUCUUGCUCUAUCGGUCGAGGUGAAGAUACCCCGAACGAGCCCCUCAAAGGAUUAUUUUACAUAGUGACAAGUGACAGUAAAUUUCAGCACAUUAUAUAAAUAUUUCCUUACCAAAUUCCACUUGUCAAAGGCGCUUCACUCCCCAGAAAUGGUGCCAGAAAAGAGUCUUGAUGACUCACAAGUAUAGGGUAUCUAUCGCAGUCCUUUAGAUAAGUAAGAGUGUCGAACCCAACGAGGAGCGGAAGGAAAUGCCAAGUGGUUUUCAGCAAGGUAUUCUCUGCAAGCAUUGAAAUUAUCGGUAACAGUUAGUUUUGUGAUAAGAUAAUUCGUAACGGGUAACAAGUAACAAAAGUAACUAAGGUGCAGCAAGGUGGCCCAAUUCUUUUUGUAGCAAAGGACAAGCCUGGACGAACUCCUAUAUAAUGCAAAGCGCUCGCGAGGACACAUGGGAAUUACUGUCAAGCUAGUUUUCAUCAUGCUCAUAUGAUUCGCGUUCGUUACUUUGAUAAUUUGAUAUGUGGGUGGACCGGUGCUUGGGUGCUGUCCUUUCUUGGACAAGCCUCCCACUUAUGAUUAACCCCUCUCGCAAGCAUCCUCAACUACGAAAGAAGAAUUAGAUAAAUCUAACCAUAGCAUGAAACAUAUGGAUCCAAAUCAACCCCUUGCGAAGCAACGCAUAAACUACGGUUUAAGCUUCUGUCACUCUAGCAACCCAUCAUCUACUUAUUACUUCCCAAUGCCUUCCCCUAGGACCAAACAAUGGUGAAGUGUCAUGUACUAUAGGUUCACAUAACACCGCUAGAGGAAAGACAACAUACAUCUCAUCAAAAUAUCAAACGAAUACCAAAUUCACAUGAUUACUUAUAACAAGACUUCUCUCAUGUCCUCAUGAACAAACAUAACUACUCACAAAGCAUAUUCAUGUUCAUAAUCAGAGGAGUAAUAAUUAUCAUUGAGGAUCUGAACAUAUGAUCUUCCACCGGAUAAACCAACUAGCAUCAACUACAAGGAGUAAUCAACACUACUAGCAACCCACAAGUACCAAUCUGAGGUUUUGAGACAGAGAUCAGAUACAAGAGAUGAUCUAGGGUUUGAGAGGAGAUGGUGCUGGUGAAGAUGUUGAUAGAGAUUUACCCCCUCUCGAUGAGAGGAUCAUUGGUAUUUCCCCCUCCGGGAGGGAAGUUUCCCCGGCAGAACAGCUCCGUCGGAGUCCUAGAUUGGUUCUGCCUAGGUUCUGCCUUGAGACGCCGGCGCUUCAUUCUGAAAGUUUACUUUUGAUUUUUUUCCGUGUCAAAACACAUCGUAUAGCAGAAGAUGGGCACCGGAGGCCUGCCAGGGGGCCCACAAGGCAAGGGGCGCGCCCAGGGGGUAGGGCGCGGCCCCCCACCCUUGUGGAUGGCUGGUGGCCCCCCUCUGGUGCUUUUUUCGCCCAAUAUUUUUUAUAUAUUCCAAAAUAAUUCUCCAUGAAGUUUCAGGACUUUUGGAAUUGUGCAGAAUAGGUCUAUAAUAUUUGCUCCUUUUCCGUUCCAGAAUUCCAGCUACAGGCCUUCUCCCUCUUCAUGUGAACCUUGUAAUAACAGCCCAUAAUGCAAUAAAUAUCAAUAUAAAAGUAUGAUGCAAAAUGGACGUAUCACUCAUUCAUCUUCAUGGAUGAAUGAUGUUGAUGAUUUGUUCAUGAUCAUCAAUACAAGGAGUCGACAAACCUCGGUGAUGAUACUUUAAGUUAGGGGUAAUACCGUAUCGGAUUGAGAUGGAUAAUCCUUAUACCGUAUCAUUACCAAUAUUUAUUUUCAGAUUCAAAAGCGGAUUUGAUGUCGUAUUUUAGUAAUACCAUAUCAUAUACCGUAUCGUAUCGUAUCAAUCAGACUCGGAUUCAAACAAAAUUGUUGUCGGAUGUAAAAAAUCUCUUACCGUAUCAUAUAAAAACGAAUUCGGGUGGAAAUUAACCUAACCACUUUCACCCUUACUUUAAAUACAAUUGGACCUGACAUUUCAAUAUCAAAUACAUUUCAAUACAAUUAUGGUUCAUCAUAGUCCCAAUUAAACAACAUAGUCUUAAUCAUAGAUCAUGGUUCAUCACAAUUUUAGGUCUCAAAAAAAAUGACGACACAAUCUUAACCACAACCAGCGAACAUAAAUAAUAACUGCAUAUUACAAUCACUCAUCACAGAUUUCAUUCAUGCUUGUUCUUAUUAACCUCCCUAGCCUUCAACAGGUCAGAUAUGACACACUCUAGUCUCUUCUUCUCCUUCCUUGACUCACCAAUGCCUUUAGUUGAAUCUUGCCUACCAUUCCAAAUAACUUCUACCUACGCAGCCUGGAUGUGCUUCAACAGAUUAACCUCCUUCUGCAGCUCCAUGUUCCACUUCUUCAGCUCCAAGUUCUCCUUCUUGAGGUCCCUUGCUUAAAGUUCAUUCUUCUGUUCUUCACUUUCAUUCAUAAUCUUCUUGUAAUUCUCCAUUAUGACCUUUUUAGUAGUAUAUUCACACCAAUCUUUGUUAAACUUGAUGUUCAACACAUAUUUCUUCUCUAACGGCUCCUUUUCUUCUGCUAACUUGGACAACUGGUAUGCUUUAACAAUAUUUCCUAUCUUGCUCUUCCCAUGAUCAUCCUAAAGCUUGUCUAGUGCUUUCUUUAGUGUAUCAUGCCAUUAUGCAUUAGCCCAAUCACUAACAACACAACUGAACCCUCCCUGAAAAUAAUUUCUACAAUGAAUAAUUUGUACACACUAAACUUGUUCACAAUAUGUACAGUGGUUAAUCUCUACACACUGACACUGAAGUAGCUCACAAGAUCUACAAACUUAACUUGUUCUAUUGGCAUAUAUGAGUAUGAAUAGAACGAAUCAUUGUACUAACCUUCUCAGCGUAGCCAAAGAAUCUCCCGCAGAUGUGAUGCCGGUCAAAUGCAACCAACUUCUCAGCCGGCUUGUUGUGGCGGCAUAGGAUAUUUCCUGUAUCAUCGAUGCCAGACCAACCCAUGUCCUCAGUUGUGGCUGGGCACUACAACAACAACGAAAAAAAACCCAUCCAAAAGGUCAGCCAAAUCGGAGCAAACAAACAAGAAUUCGCCAAUUCAAAACCCUAACCCUGGUUCACACAUAUAUGCUCCGAGUAGUGCUGCUCAGAGAACGGCGAUUCGGAGCUCGUUUCCCGCCAUUCCAGGAGACCAUGGCGGGCGGCGCCGACAGUGAGCGCGAUGGUUGGGGCAGAGGCAGAGAGGAAAGGAUUCACGCGAGGAGGGGGUGGAUUCUAACCAGCUGACGAGAUGGUUAAAAGGAGCCAUCUAACGACCGUCUGUGCGGUGCUGUCCACCCACGCCACAUGGGCACUGACAGUGGAACCCGCCUGUCGGGUAUCCCACAUUUAGUGUUUUCUGCACACUUUUAACGAAAAACGGUGGUUAUUGCAAACUUUAGAUUUUUGGUGGUUUUCAGCAAUUUUUUGUCCCAAUUGUGAUUUUUUUUUUGGCAAUUUAGUCCUCCCGAAGACUUUUUUUUAAUGAGGUUAUUAUUCAGUAGUGACUUUACCAAUCACGAACCAAUAUGAUGUCAAACGUCACGUAAAUCCAACCCUGCGGUCAAAAAAGCGUCCUACUAAAAAGUGAGCGCAAGGACGGUCACACCCGAGGCCACCGGCGCGCACGGCGUGCUCCAAGAUCGGAGAGAGACGGUAGUACUGUAGUACGUUGCAGCGGGCUAUAUCAGCACAACAGAACGAUGACGGGAGAUGGACUAACCACCAUCACCAAUCACCGAACUCGUUUCAGCGCCGAACCGGCGUCGAUGGCUUCACCGCCACCGCGGAACAUGCCACGAGCAGAACUCAGACGGCACACGCCGUCGGUCAAUUCUUCAAGCCUGUGCGCCGUUCUGCGCGAUGCAUGCUGGAGCUCCUUGUCAAAGGGAACCGCUUCCAUGUCGCGCGGAGAAAACGACCGACGUCCAUCAUAUGCCGCGGCUCCGGGUUGCUCGGCCGGCUGCUUCUAGAAACAAGCCGCUAGGACCGUCGCCUUUAUCUCUGGUCCUCUUCUCUAAUCUUCCAUGAUCCCAGAUCGAGGAGCACUGAUCAGAUCUCAUAGGGUCUAUGCUCUGCUUUUCCCAGUAGAGUAGUACACCUAAGCUUCCGUUUCGCGAUCAAUGCUCCCCACUGAUUGGCAAAAUGAUUGCCGCCUUGCUCGACUCGAACCCAUAAUAACUGAUUCUGCAGCAAAAAAUUACAGGUCACAAACUGGCAGGUUUGGCAUAGGCAGCAACAGAAAGCAGUUCAGGGUACUCUUUUCUUGGAUCGUAGCCGCGUAUGAGACAUGAUUGCAUCAACAGAAUGUCUUUCGGUUGACGGUACGUACCGCACGAUCUGAGAGAAAUAUGUGUCCUCAAAAUGGGAAAGCGGUUGAAGGCGCCCCACCACGCGGAACGAAGGUCAGCGUCUCCAUGGCCGUGUGUUUGAGCGUGACCAAAGUCCACGCCCUCUGCUGUAUUGAUGCGUCUAUCUUUAAUCUGAACGAUGUGUAUGUGCGCUAUCCAUAUACGCGUCAAUGCGCGGCAACUUCUUUUCUGCAAAGGCGCCACACUGUCACAAAAAAAGAGCCAGCUAUCGGGAUCGGGACUUCCAUUGCCAGUUGUAAUGUUUGCAUCUAUGAUAUGUUGUAAGUUACUUAGUUGAGCUUAAUCAACAUUGUUGACGUAAAAAUGUAUUGUCUAGUCUAUUUCAUUAGAGCAUUUACAACCGGACCACUCAAAUUCAUCUCAACAUCCGGGCGGACCACUCGGUCAUGAUUUUUUGACCAACACGGCCCCCUCAAACACCCAGGCUGACCGGCACCUCUCAUAUCUAGCCCAAAUAUAGGGCGGAUAUGGGGCGCCCGGACACGCCCACCACGUCGGACCCGACAACCCGACCCCAUCCCUCUCUUCUUCCUCCUCUGCACCGUCCGGCUCGCAGCUCCGCAGCCAUUCCCACGCUCUCCGCCGCCAGCUCCGGAAGAGUGCUCCCAUCCUCGCCGCGGGGGACGUUGUCGCCGGCCCGGACGCCACCGUGGUACGUCCGGCAACUCUCCGGCUCCGCCUUGCGCUUGAUGUGUUUGACACAUUGACCGACCGGAAUUAUUAUAAUUUUGUUAGGUAAAUGAUGGAGCUUGACCAAAUGAUUCAAGAUGAAUUCUUCGAUUCGUCGGAUUAGGACGAAGAAGUGGACAUGAUUAUGCUCAUGAGCAUGCAAGAGAAAAUGGACCGGCAAGUGGAGCAUAUUCUCAACUUCAAGGGCUCAAUCAAAGGGAGAAGAGUGACCAAUCGGGACAGGGUGCAUCUACUUUCCCGGAUGAUCCGUGGUUUCGACAUUGUUUUCUAUAAACGCUAUGUAUGCUUGAUACCAACAAUUGCUAUUUACGUGCGACAUUGUGUUUGCAUGAUCGACGUGCAUGUAUUUGCAUGGAUUUGAGAGUCCGGAUUUGAGAUAUGUGGAUGCAUGGAAGGAAAUAUGAGUGCUCGUACGGAUGCGCCUGUGGGUGUACCCGGACGCGUCCGCGGGCGUUUGAGCGACCGGAUUUGCCAAGUUCGGAUGUAGAUGUUCUUAGAUCGGUUUUUGGAUUGCAUUGGCUGAAACAUGCACUUCUACAAGCAUCACGAAGCAUUUGGUUUGUAACUUUUCCACCAUCUUCCGAUUACAGUGUUUAGCAAAAACGUUACAGCCAUCUGGUUUGGUUGGGCCGGUUUCCAUCACGGUGUAAAGCCCAAAACCGCACGCGUCGAGUAGAUAUGAAAACACUCGAUCCCAUUUCCCUUUCUCCGCUCGUCUAUGCCUCGCUUCAUCUCCACCAUGAGCCCUCUCCUUCACCGCACGACCAUCCCUCGCCACCGGAGUAGGAACGCUGGGCCUCUCCCUCCCCCGCGGCAAGAAGCAACGCUGGAUCUAUCUCUCUCCUCUUCAAGCUCCAUCCCCUCGUCCCCUGUUUUCUUCGACGCAAGCCACCUCAGCCUCUGCUACCUUCAGCAAGAACCAUGAUGCUGCAUUGUAUUGAGAAAGUAUCCCCUUGUUGAACCAAACAAAUCACAUGGUCACUCAAUACACCGGCCAAUAUAGUGCAGUCUAAUUACAAAGCUGAAUACAUUACGUGAGGUGAACCAAAUGUGUCGUUAGUUACUCAAGUAUAUAAUGAGAAGAAGCAACGGAAGUGAACUUAAAAUUUGCAUCGCAUUUAUUGUUUGAAAGUUAAACUUUAUUUGUUUGAAAUACUAAUAGUUACAUCGUAGGAUAUGUACAAUUUUGCUCAUAGGCUCCUCAAACCAAUCGUUAGUUGAAGAAAAUCUAGCUAACCUAACAAACUCAUGAGCAACUUUGUUCGCUCCCCUACUACAAUGUUCGAAACUAGUAAGAAAAAAAUCAUAAGCAAAAAAAUAACAAUCAUCAAAAACUACCGUCGCCGCUCCCGCAGAAUGUCCUUCAUUCUUCAUGGUAUCAAUGAUCUCCACAAUCAGAAUUAAUAAUGAGACGAUUGCAGCCCGCCUUUUGCGCAAGGGUUAGGCCGAAUCUUAGCACCAGAACUUCAGCCGUCAUGACAUCUGCACACCACUCGAUUCUCAAAUUUCCGCCAACAAUAAAAUUUCCUUUUAUCAUCUCUGAUGACGCCGCCAUGCCCCUAAGCAUGUCUUGAUCAAAAGAUGCAUCGAUAUUAAGUUUUGCAAAAUCCUUAGGAGGCCGAAUCCAUUCCCCUCUUUUACUCGUAGCAUUGGGGGAAGAGGCAUUAACGUAAUUUGUUGUUAGAGCAUGAAUCCCCAUAGAAAUUUAAUACACAUCUUAAGUUGUUUCGUCAUGAACCGGUUUACACACUUCCUACCACAAGAACCAAGUUGUAAUGACUAUCAAUUCUCGAGCAUUCUGAAGACCCAGAAUGGAGAAAUCUUGGUCUGGCAGCAGAAGCAAGAACUCAAUGACAACCUCACAUGCACGAUCUUUCAUAGUCUCUUUUGAUCACUUCAUCCAUACCUAUUCCAUACGUCCUUAGCUUUCUGGCACUGAAAUAAUAGUUGCUUUGUAUCUUCUGGCCCAUGAGAAGAAGAUAGGCAUUGUGGUGACACUUUCAUAUGUCAAUUGACAAAUGACAAGUGUAAAACGACAGGGGAGAGUGCCAUACAGCGUGCACCAAAUAAAGAUUUUAACUUUUGCCGAACAAGAUAAUUUCCAAAUGUAGAUCAAACAGGAUUAACAUCAAUUUGUCUCGUACCAUUAGUAUGUCGAAGUUUACUCCCGUAUUGGUAGUCCCAUUCCACAAAAUAAGCCGACCGAGCAGUGAACAUUCUAUUUUUUGUGUAGCUCCAUGCUAUAAAAUCUGACAUAUCAUGAAGAGAAAGAGAAAUAUCGAGGACACGCUGAGCAUUAAUUGGCCAUAACAUUUGUCUCACCAGGUCUUCAUCCUAUUAAUUAGUGACUGGAUCAAUAAGAUCAGAGAACCUUGACAGAGGUGUCUCCCUCUUGGAGUAAUAUAAUGUUUCUAUUCUCGUAAUUUGGGAUCCAUUCAUCUUUUCAAAUAUAAAUAUUUUGUCCCUUGUCCACUCACGGGAUAUAACCAUGCUUUAACGAAUUGACUCCCGCCAUAACACUUUGCCAAUUAAAAGAGGAGCCCUUUUUUAAGUUUGCAUUCACCAUGGAGAAAAUACUUUGCUCUUAAAUUAUGUACCCCAUCGUUGCAAAAUAUGUCGACAAACGAAGAACGCGAUGUGACUGACUCUGACCACCAUUCGCUCUCGGCUAUUCCUAGUUGUUUUGGCCGUUUGGCCAAUUCAAAUCUGCACUUACCAAGGAAAUACACGUUCCUAGCUCAGCAUUGCCGAGAAGUUACUCGCUCAACGGACGGUAACUGACAGACGAUCAUCACACACGCUCAAAUUUUUCCCACACCUGACGCCAUCAUGACAUUUACAGGCCACCACACAACGCUCUCGACAGUUACGGUUCCGGCCUUCAGGGACCGGUUUACUUCGUCGCGCACGGCUGCACGACGCCGUCCACGUCCACAGCUCCGCGCAUCAUCCAGUGAACCAGUCCACGAAGCGAACUGCACCGGGGAUAUGCCUGCUGACAGCAGGAAAAUGGCCAGCGAUUCGUGUUCAUGUUCGAUCACAUUGGCCUACAAAGCAGAGGAUCUCAAGAGCAGCAGCUAGCAACAACUGACCAAAAUUCAAACGAGCAACUGUUUCGCCGAUCAUUUCACGCACUGUUGAGUUGAGUUGUGCUCCAGAUCAUCGUCUCGUGCCGUCAGCGUCAACUGGACCAGGAGUAGGAUCGGCGACAGCGGGCAGGCGUGCGAUCUCGGCCGUCCGACGUUUCAUCGGACGGUCGAGAGCACGUCCAGACCGAGAAUGUGGUUGCGGAUUUGUGGAAGUGAGUCCGCCCGCCCUCCUCAAGUCCUCUUCCCCUUGUCGCCAAACGAGAGCCAUUUGUGAAGCUUCUUUCCGAUAUUCCACUUUCUUGUUUCGUCCCUCCCCACCUCUCCUCUUCCACCCCCCUCACAUGGUGUGAUCGGCCAAGCGAAGGGACCACCGCAGCCAUGCCUCCGCCGGUAGCCGCCGCGCUGGUGAUGCUGCUCGCCGUGGCCUUGGGCGCGGCGCGCGCCGCCGACGACCUAGCGUCCGACACCGCGGCGCUGCAGGCCUUCAUCGCGCCAUUCGGGUCGGCGUCCGUGUCCUGGAACGCGUCCCGGCAGACGUGCUCCUGGACCGGCGUCGUCUGCUCCGGCGGCCGCGUCACGGGGCUCCACCUGCCCGGGGACGGCCUCCGCGGCUCCGUCCCCGUCGGCGCGCUCGGCGGCCUCACCAGGCUCACCGUGCUCUCGCUGCGCUUCAACGCGCUCUCCGGCCCGCUGCCGGCCGACCUGGCCUCCUGCGUCAAGCUGCGGGUCAUCAACCUGCAGUCCAACCACUUCUCCGGUGAGCUCCCGGCCGCGAUUCUCUCCCUCCCGGCGUUGACGCAGCUAAACCUCGCUGAGAACCGGCUCUCCGGGAGAAUACCGCCCGCCAUUGCCAAGAGCGGGAAGCUGCAGCUGCUCUUCUUGGAGGGCAACCUCUUCACCAAAGAGCUGCCCAACGUCGACAUGCCAUCCCUCUUGUCUUUUAACGUCUCCUUCAACGACCUCACCGGCGAGGUUCCCAAAGGCUUCGGCGGCAUGCCCGCCACGUCUUUCCUCGGCACGACACUGUGUGGCAAGCCCCUCCCGCCGUGUCGAACACCAUCUACCCAACCACCGUCCCAGCCUCCCACGGUUGCCCCCGAAGCCGCGGCCGCGGGAAACGGCCACGGGCGGGGCCGGCGACACCUCGCGGGCGGUGCCAUCGCGGGCAUUGUGAUCGGCUGCGCUUUGGGCUUCCUGCUUAUCGCCGCCGUUCUGGUCCUUGCCUGUGGCGCCCUGCGCCGGAAGCCAAGAAGAACCUACCGCAGCCAGGACGCCGUCGCGGCGGAGCUGGCCCUGCACAGCAAGGAGGCGAUGAGCCCGAAUAGCUACACUCCACGGGUCUCCGACGCGCGGCCGCCACCGCCCGCAUUAAUGCCGCCUCCGGUCGCCCCCGUCUCCGUGGGGCGGAAGAAGCUUUUCUUCUUCGGGAGGGUGCCGAGGCCGUACGAUCUGGAGGACCUGCUCCGCGCGUCCGCCGAGGUUCUUGGCAAGGGCACGUACGGUACCACGUACAAGGCCGCGCUGGAGACGGCGCCGGCGGUGGCAGUGAAGCGUCUCAAGGAGACGUCGCUGCCGGAGCGCGAGUUCCGGGACAAGAUCGCGGCUAUCGGUGGGUUGGACCAUCCUAACGUCGUGCCACUGCAGGCCUACUACUUCAGCAAGGACGAGCGGCUCAUGGUGUACGAGUUCGUCGCCACGGGCAGCCUCUCCUCGAUGCUUCACGGUACGUGUUCUCGUCAGAUUCUCUCUGUUUUCUUGCUCCAAACUCUGCUCCGAAUCGGAACAAAAUUUCUGAAUUUGUGAGAAUCUCAGGCAACCGUGGCGCCGGGCGAUCGCCGCUGAGCUGGGAGUCGAGGAGGCGGAUCGCGCUGGCCUCGGCGCGCGGCCUGGAGUACAUCCACGCGACGGGCUCCAAGGUGGCGCACGGCAACAUCAAGUCGUCCAACAUACUCCUCGGGCGGUCGGUGGACGCGCGCGUGGCGGACCACGGCCUGGCGAGCCUCGUCGGCCCGGCCGGCGCGCCGUCGAUGCGCGUGGCGGGGUACCGCGCCCCCGAGGUGGUCGCCGACCCGCGGCGGCUGUCGCAGAAGGCGGACGUGUACAGCUUCGGGGUGCUGCUGCUGGAGAUGCUGACGGGGAAGGCGCCGACGAACGCCGCGCUGCACGACGAGGGCGUGGACCUCCCGCGGUGGGCGCGGUCCGUGGUGCGCGAGGAGUGGACGUCCGAGGUGUUCGACACGGAGCUGCUGAGGCAGCCGGGCGCGGAGGAGGAGAUGGUGGAGAUGCUGCGGCUGGCCAUGGACUGCACCGUGCCGGUGCCCGACCAGCGGCCGGCGAUGCCGGAGAUCGUCGUGCGCAUCGACGAGCUCGCCGCCCCGGGGUCGGCGUCGUCCAUGGCACGGCCUGGCCGGAGCAUCUCGGUCGACGAGGCCGACGACCGGCCGCUCAAGCCGGCCGGGUCGAUCCGAGAGAGCUGAGGCUCGGUCGGUGUCACCCAGCAUGGCGACCGUUCGGUAAUUUACGGAAGAUUCUGAAGAGAAGAGAAUCUUGUCUUCUUGCGUGUGUCUUUAGGGCAUUACUUAUUUACCACCGUGUGCUUUCUACUUUCUUUUUUUGAAGUUUCAUGAAUUUCUUGAUUCUUCUUCCUUGUCACGAAUUCUUUGGAUUAGCUGCGUGUGUUGAGGGAUGCUGGCGAUAGGAGAGGCACUGCUGGUUCUGAGACAGACAGAGUAUGUAAUUACAUCAUCAUCAUGGAGUUGAUUUUGUUGCGAUCGUGCGCGGGUCACCUGAUUAACAAUCAUCU